UUUAAUUUUAUAUUCUAAAAAUGAUUACAAUAGGUUCUAAAUUCAGCUUCAAAAAUAAAGAAUAGAUGACAGGUUUCCAACAGCGGUGGCAUGAGUGCUGUGGUAAUACGGUAACACCUAAUAAUUUCUCGUGAAUGUAUAGUUUGAUUCAUAGUGCAUGCUUUGCUAGUUAUGAUGUACAUACAAUUAAAACUAAGCUCGUAACAUGUUUUUAGGAAUGCUAAUGGUGUAACCGUGUAGCUAGCUUAGUGUACCUUCUAUAACCUUGCCACUGAACACUGAACAAUAAGUGUCUUCAAUAAAAUUAUCGUUUUUCUCUCAAAAACUUUAGGCUCAUGUACUAGGUAAUUAAGGUCAUCUCCAACUAAAGGAGGGACAGAUGAUUCGUUUUAGCCAUCUGACCUCAAAGAAAUUAAUAUUUUAAUAAAUAGUGCAUGGCCAUAUCGCUUUACUAUCUCCAACCGAAGGCAAAAAGACAUAGCCCUAUGACAAAAAAUCAACUCCAACCGAGGGCCAAAAGGUCAAACAUAAUUUAUUAUUUAAAUUUAAAAACUACAAAUUAAAUUUAAUGUUGUUUAAUGGCUUAGGAAGUUAUAGGGAAAAAAAUAGAAUUAAUUUUUUUUAAUUUUGUAAAAUAAAUAAAGAAAAAACUCUAAAAAAAAAACAAAUAUAACAUCUAGCUGGUGUCACGCUAAUGUCAGCUAGCCAUUGCAUUCAAAUAUGUGGCCCAGCUUAGGGCUGCUGGCUGGGUUGAACCAGCUGGUUAGCCUUUUGGCCUUUUUUGUCCCAUGAGGCCCACAAACCGUUUGACCUAACCCUCGGUUGGAAACAGUUUUCAAACCAUUUUCAGCCCUCUUAUCAUCUGGAUCAUUCGGUUGAAAAUGGCCUAGGUUGUCCAGUGCAAACAAUUAAGGUAAACAAACUGCUGUUCUUGGAAUCUUUCCACGUCUCUCUCCUGUUCGUACGUCCUCGUGUCUGUAUAACGUUAGGAUCUCUAAAGGACUAAAAUUUGGUUGGAAAAGUGCAGGUCAAUUAGCGCAAUCCUACUACCUCGGAAUUAAUCAAAGGAUUGCUAUAGUUAUAAAAUAAGGAAAACUAAUGAAAAGGACUUGAAAACUUUGAGUUUUAAUGAUAAGGACAAAAUAAAGGAUAAAGUGAAUAGUACCAGGAUUGACUUUUUAGUGUAAAAAUGUGGUUUUUCGUUAAAGUGAACAGUACCGGGUGCUUUUCGUUAAAGUUCCCAUAUAAAAUAAUCUGAAAAUAUAACUUUAUCCUUUAAAACUUAAUUUUCUUCACAUAAAACUCGACAUAAGUUUUUUACUCAAAUAAAACUCAUUUACUAGAUUCCACAUCAGCAAAUUAUUAAUUAUGUUUGACUUAACACAUUUAAAAUUUUCUAAAUACCUAAAACACCCCUAUUUGAAUGUUUGAUGUACACAAUUAAUGCCAUGCGAAUUAUAAGGGAGAAUUAAUAAUUUUACUAAAAAAACAUUUGUUAUAAAUUCAUUCCCUAAUAUAUAAUAACAAUAAAAAUGUCUAUAUAUUGACAUGCUUAAUUAAGUCACUAAAAUUAUAUUUUACAUAUUAAUGUAGGUAAAUUAUUUCACACACAUAUAUAAAAAAAUGACUAAUAUAUGUAAAACUUCAUGCAAAAUAAUUUACCUAAAAAAAAUGUUAUUUGAUUCAAAUAGGGCACCUACUAUUGAAAUUUUAAAAUGUUAGAUUGCUCAAAAUAAUUUACCCUUAGAUUGCUCAAAAUAAUUUACCCUAUCUAUGUAAAAUACAUGAAAAAUAAUUUACCUACAUAAUAAACAAACCCAAUAUAUGCAAAACACAUGCAAAAUAAUUUACCUACAUAAUAAAGCAAUAUUAUUUUAUUUAAUACUAAUUUACCUACAAAAUAGUAUUAACUUACCUACAAAAUAUAUUAUUUGCUAAUCAUAAAUUUAAAUAGGUAAACUAAUUACAAUAUAAUAAUUUUUUAACAUAAAUGUUAGUACUGCACAUAUAUAUAUAUUUGAACGUAUAGUAGUACUAUAUACAUAUAGGUAAAUUAUAUGUAUAUUGAACUUUUAGUAGUAUGAUAUACUUUUGAAGUAUUUAUGUAUAUAUAUAAUUAUAUAUGUUAGGGGUAAUGGUAUGUGAAAUAAUUAUUUGUUCAUUACAAUUAAGGUAAGUAAUAAUAUUUAUUGAUUUUAUUUGAAUAUUGUGGUACAAGUUGUAAAUAUUUUGUAAUAAUAGGUGAAUUACUUUUCUAUUUGGCAGUCUUUUUCAAAUUUGAAUUUUAUUUUGAUGUUUAGAAUUAGGUGGAUUUUUAUCCAAGAAAUAAAAUUUGCUAGGGUCUAUAUCUAAAAAUUCCUAAAUAAUAUAAAAUGACGAUCACAUCACAUCCUAGCUCACCAACGUUACUCACCUGAUGAGCUUGUCAUAAGAAAUAUAUCUUCACCAAUACUUUCCUAAAACUAAUAACACGAUGGGGCAAUAAUUAUUUUACUAAUCACAGAUAUAGGUGUGAACACAGAAAAUUCCUGAAACGAAAUAGACAAGAACAACGUGCACAAACAAAUAUUUGUAUUUGAUGAUUUUUGGGUUACAAUCUCUCUCUAUUUUGAUCCUCUGAUUUGAUCUCUGUAAGGUGUUGAUUUGUGGGAUGUCCGAUUGAUCCAAGGGCCGUCGAGGCUUGAUCUUGGAUGAACGAGGAUGAACGGAUCUUCAAGGGCUUUUGAGCUUGAUCUUGAAGAAUGGUGAUUGACGGAUCUUCAAGGGCUUUUGGGCUUGAUCUUGAAGAACAAUGAUGAACGGAUUUCCGAGGGCUUUUGGGCUUGAACUCGAAGAACAGUGACGAACGGAUCUUCGAGAGCUUUUGGGCUUGAACGGAUCUUCGAGGGCUUUUGGGCUUGAUCUCGAAGAACAGUGAUGAACGAUGAACGCUUUCUUCAAGGGCCGUCGGGGCCUGGGCUUGAUGAACAGCGGAUGAGCGGAUUUGUUGAUGUUGUCGAUCCAAAGGGGUCGUUGGGGCUUGAUCCUUGAGGAUGAACAGUUGAUGAACGAUGAACGCUUUCUUCAAGGGGCCGUUGAGGCUUGGGCUUGAAGGUGGAUGAUUGUUGAUCCAAGGGCCGUCGGGCUUGAUCUUGGAAGAACGAUGAACGAAGAACGCUUUCUUAAUUCUUCGGGAACCUGGAUGCUUGAGAGCUUCGGAGUUUCAGAGCUUCAGAGCUUCAAGAGUUUUUGCCUAAUGAUUUUCGUUUUUCUAAUGAAUGAAAUGGGCUUGUAUUUAUAGAAUUUUCCAAGGCCUAAUUUUGAAUAUAAUAUCCCAGAUGAAAUAAGUCGUUUCUGCCAGGUGUUGACACGUGUCCUAUUUGAUGACUUUUCCAACUCAUUUCAAUUUUCGUUGAGUCACAUGCUACGUGUAAAAUUUAUGUAAUACAUGAGCGUUGACACUUUGAUUUAUCGGUCAACAUUUAUUUACCGAAAUUUCGAUGUCUACAAUAGGAGGUACACCAAGCUCGCUAAUCUUAAUUAACCAUACCAUGAUCAUCGAUAUACUUCAGAAAUCAAACCCCACACUUACCACUUCCCAGUCCAUCUUUACAUUUCAAAACCACAAAAAAUGCAAUCACACAAACAUCUAACCUCAUGGAGGAACCAUUCACAAACCCAUAUUUAUACAACAACAUUUAACCAUGGAGGAACUCAAAGGGCGAUUGUGGUGUUUUAGCAAUAUAAUUAGGAAAUAUUUUUGUUCAUCUCUCUCAAAUGAUGAUGACAAUGCUCACCACUCUAUUUAUAACCGUUAAAUAAGUUUAAAUUUCGAGAUAUGUGUAAUAGGUAAACACAAAUCUCAAAAUUUACUCAUCUAAUAAUAAUAAAUAGGGUAAUAAACAUUACUGUCACUUGAUAGUAAUGAGUAAAAAUGCACUCAUAUACUUACGUAAACAGGUGGAUACAUAUACUUGUCAUGAGAUCAAAUGCUGCCAUUUGUAGCAAUCCAAACAUGGCCACUUUGAAUCCCCUGUUCACGCGUGACGGUCAAAAGCUAUAUGAGAAUAGAGCGCAAUACCAUUUUUUUUUCUAUGCUAUAAUCGCCCACCAAAAAAUAAAAAGAAGGUUUGCUUCACAGAUGUCAUGACUUGAACUACUCCUUAGGCUUGACAUAUUUAUGCGGUAGUGAAUUUCUUGUUUGGAUAUACUUUUAAAAUGAUCAAAAGUGUUUUUAGUGAAAAUAUUUUUAAAAUCAAUCUUUACUAAAAAUGCAAGUAAAUCCUUAAAAAACACUUAAAGUGUUUCUUAGAAGAAGCACAUAAUUAGUGCUUCUUGCAGAAAGCACUUUAAGUGUUUUUGGAACCUAAAAGCAUUUUGUCUAAAAGCAUUUUCAAUCAUCUUAAAAGCACAUCGAAAGGAGCCGUAUGAGUAAGUGAAUAACUACUUAGUACUAUAGUCUAGUGUUUUUUUUUUUUACUUGUAAGUGAGAGGUUUUAGAUUUGAUUCUCGCCAAAGGCGAAUUUGAAAAACAAUAUUGCUAACCCAUUGUGAGGCUAAUAUAAAAACGUGCAAAAUUAUUAUGAGUAAUGUUACAUGUAUCAUAUUUAAUUACUGAUUACAUCGACCUCUCAUCUAACUGUAAAGCAAGUGACCCUUUACCACAAUGGUGAAAAUGUGUUGUGCCCUUGCAUGACGGCGUAGGUUCGAACUCCGUCAGUGACUAAUCUAACAUUUAACUUACUAAAGCUAUCACUCAACUUAAAAAAAAAAAAAAAAAAAAAGCGCUGUAAAAUGAAAAUUGCUUGAGAAAAGCAAGUUCAAAGCCUUUCUCAUUUUUUUUUAGACGAGCAAUAGUAGGUGCUUAUAUAGAAAACAAUAUUUCAACUGUUAUAUGGAAAUAAUUGAUUGUUUUUUGAGAUUGUAUGCAGUACUAAUUCAUGAUAUGACAUGUACAACAACAACAACAACAACAAAGCCUUUUCCCACUAAGUGGGGUCGGCUAUAUGAAUCCUAGAACGCCAUUGCGCUCGGUUUUGUGUCAUGUCCUCCGUUAGAUCCAAGUACUCAAGUCUUUUCUUAGGGUAUUUUCCAAAGUUUUCCUAGGUCUUCCUCUACCCCUUCGGCCCUGAACCUCUGUCCCGUAGUCACAUUUUCGAACCGGAGCGUCAGUAGGCCUUCUUUACACAAGUACAUAGGUUCAAGCUCUCAUUUAGUGAGUACAAGUGAAUGAUUUAGUACAAAUGACAUUAGGAAAUAUUGUGGGAGAAUGAUCUGGUAACCACGUAACUUCUAAGUACCAGAGUGUGGUAUCGUCUUAACUUGCCUUAUCUGUCUCAUAGGUAGAUGUGGCAUCUUCUCUGGAAGUACUCUUCCUCCAUCCAGGGGUGGUAUCUGUAACUGGUGGAGAUGCACAAGGUAAUGUAUCAAUUUCACUUGAAGCUUACUUGUAGUUUCAGGCUUGGUCAAGCGCGAUACAAACCAUGUAGUAGGAGUCCCCCAAGUCGCCGGGCUAGGGGAUCUGCUGAAAGAGGUGACAGACAAGGUAAGCAAUCAGAGCUCCGACUGAUUGUUCACAUUCUCCCUAUCUUGCAGGCAGCAUGAAGGAUAAAGAGAAGAAAAAUGAGAAGAGAUGAUAUGGGAUACUUUUUCUUUUGAAGAAGUAACUUUCCACAGGCUUAUUCUUGAACCGGGCUGGAGGGUUUUCUGGUUUCCUCCAGAGUAUAAGGCCGACUGAAAAAUUUGAGGGUCAAAACAAGUCCAUCAAAUCUAGAGUACGUUCGACCCUGCUGAUAUGAGAUACUUUUGCUUUUGACACAGUAGUGGAUGUAUCGGCAUGUGUGCUGUUACGCUUGUCUCCACAUGCUUCCUUGUAUCCUUCUCACUUGCCCUAUCUGUUCCUCAAGCAGAUGCGGUAUCUUCCCUGGAAGCAUAAGAUGUUGAAGAUGAGUACUCGAGAGCAAUGCCAGGUAAGUAAUCAGGUAAGGGGUUCCAGGCAGUCAGUUCAUGGCUGGAAGCUUGAUUCCAAGUGCUGACUGAUUGCUCUCUUUCUCCUUGUCUUGCAGGUAAGAACAAGGCCAAAGGAAAAGACAGGGAAAAAGCAUGAUAUGGGAUACUCUUGCUUUUAACCUUGAUGAUAUGAGAUAUUCUUGCUCUAGUAUAGCUUGUUUACAGAGGUAUUAUCGGGGGGAAGGAAAGCUGAAUAUUUCGAAAGGCUUCGUUGGGAGUGCCCUCUUAGAUAAGAGAAAGGGUUGAGCAUUUUUGCAGGUCUGCCUGUCCGUUAGGGACGGAGGUCGACAUAUAUAGGAGUCUCCCUAACAUCAAGUAAUAAUGCUAUUCCUUUACCCUGCUUGGUCAUAGCACGGUAGUGAGAGCUGCCAGCUUCACAUGUUUUAACUCUGUCAGAGCACUUUGAAAAAGUGGUCUGUGGUAUCUGAAAAGCUGAUGUUGCGUGUGAAGAUUACAGACAAGCUUUAUCCAAGGAGAUCCAGCUCUUGAAGUUGGGAAAGUGGUGCCUCUUCGAUUUUCGAACAAGCAAUCCUGUCGGGGAUCUGGCUCUCGAGAUUCGGAGAACGAUGCCUUUUCGAUUUUUGAGAAAGCAAUCCUGUUGGGGGUCUGGCUCUCGAGAUUCGGAGAGCGGUGUCUCUUCGAUUUUUGAGAAAGUAAUCAUGUUGGGAGUCUGGCUCUAGAGAUUCGGAGGGCGGUGUCUGUUCGAUUUUGGAGCAAGCAAUCUUGUUGGGAGUGUUUUCUCGAAUGUGAGUAAAGGUUGGGCAUGUUUGCUAGUCUACCUUGCCACGAAGCACAGAGCUUGACACACAGGGACUUUCCAAUUAUCCAGCAGUGGUACUGUUCCUUUACCCUCUCUUCGAUUUUUGAGAAAGUAAUCAUGUUGGGAGUCUGGCUUUUGAGAUUCGGAGGGCGGUGCCACUUCGAUUUUGGAGCAAGCAAUCUUGUUGGGAGUGUUUUCUCGAAUGUGAGUAAAGGUUAGGCAUGUUUGCUAGUCUACCUUGCCACGAAGCACAAAGGUUGACACACAAGGACUUUCCAAUUAUCCAGCAGUGGUACUGUUCCUUUACCCUCUCUUCGAUUUUUGAGAAAGUGAUCAUGUUGGGAGUCUGGCUCUCGAGAUUCGGAGGGCGGUGCCUCUUCGAUUUUGGAGCAAGCAAUCCUGUUGGGAGUGUUUUCUCGAAUGUGAGUAAAGGUUGGGCAUGUUUGCUAGUCUACCUUGCCACGAAGCACAGAGGUUGACACACCGGGACUUUCCAAUUAUCCAGCAGUGGUACUGUUCCUUUACCCUUGUGGGUAAUAAUAUGGUAGCUAGACCUUCAAAAUUUAUGUGUCUAAACUUUGUUAGUGUUGUUUCUUUGCAAUUCUUUUACAAUUCUUGGUUAGAGCGAUGUAGCAGGAGCUGCAAGCUUCACGUGUCUCAACUUUGUCAGAGAACUUUGGCAAAGUUAUCUGUGGUACCCAUGAGUUACUGUUGCGUGUGGGAAGUGGGUGAUUGAACAGUACGAUUCAUGUGCUUUCUACUUCGCCAGAAAUCUUCGACAGAAUGCCCAUAAUUUUCGCAAAGCUGAGUGUGCGUGUGACAGGUGCUGACAAGGCUGGAAAAGUAGGUGUCUCUUCGAUUUCUGAGAUCGGCCCUCGUGGUCUCUUAGCAGCCCAGCUUUUGAGAAAGCAAACCUCUUCGAUUUCUGAGAUCGGCCUUCAUGGUCUUUGAGCAUCCCAGCUUUUGAGAAAGCAAACGCCUCUUCGAUUUCUGAGAUCGACCCUCGUGGUCUCUGAGCAGCCCAGCUUUUGAGAAAGCAAACGCCUCUUCGAUUUCUGAGCAGGCGCCUCUUCGAUUUCUGAAGCUUCGUCGAGUGCAAAUUUUUAUAGGGGCUGAAAUUAAGUUCCAAAGCACACUUGAAUAUCCACCAGUAGAAGCUCCAUUCUUGCACUUCUAGGAUCUUGAUUUGUCCGACCUCUUCUUUCUUCAACACCUUUGAAAAUGUAUGGCCCCUCCGACCGUCGUUUUGACUUGAACCUUGUUGAAGAGGCAGCCCCGCCUUCUCCAGACAACAUAUGGCGCCCAUCAUUCGUCUCCCCUACUGGUCCUCUUACCGUUGGGGAUUCCGUGAUGAAGAAUGAUAUGACUGCUGCGGUAGUGGCCAGGAACCUUCUCACUCCCAAAGAUAACAGACUACUUUCCAAACGGUCUGAUGAGUUGGCUGUUAAGGAUUCUCUGGCUCUCAGUGUUCAGUGUGCAGGUUCUGUGUCUAAUAUGGCCCAACGCCUAUUUGCUCGAACCCGCCAAGUUGAAUCAUUGGCGGCUGAAGUGAUGAGUCUCAAACAGGAAAUUAGAGGGCUCAAGCAUGAGAAUAAACAGUUGCACCGGCUCGCACAUGACUAUGCUACAAACAUGAAGAUGAAGAGGAAGUUUGACCAGAUGAGAUGAAGGAAUCUGAUGGUCAGGUUUUACUUGAUCAUCAGAGAUUUGUGGGUUUGUUCCAAAGGCAUUUAUUGCCUUCGUCUUCUGGGGCUGUACCGCGUAAUGAAGCUCCAAAUGAUCAACCUCUGAUGCCUCUUCCUUCUAGGGUUUUGUCCAGUACUGAGGCUCCGAAUGAUCCCCCUCCGGUGCCUUCUCUUUCUGGGGCUCUACCGACUGCUGAGACUUCUCCUAAGCAACCUUUGUGAAGGCUCCCUCUUGUUUGUUUAUUUUGACUCAAGUAUAUGUACAUAUUUGUAACUUAUCGGGGCUAUCAAUAAAUAAGCUUUCCUUCAUUUCAACGUAUUGUGUUAAAUACACCAAAGCCUUCUUCGCUAAGUUCUUUGAAUUUUCUUUUCUUGAAGCUUGUAUGUUGAAGCUUUGUGAGUGGAGCAUGUAGGUUGAGGUAGUGUUCCCUUAAUUUCCCGAGUGAGGAAAACUUCUCGGUUGGAGACUUGGAAAAUCCAAGUCACUGAGUGGGAUUGGCUAUAUGAAUCUUAGAACGCCAUUGUGUUCUGUCCUGUGUCAUGUCCUUCGUUAGAUCCAAGUACUCUAAGUCUUUUCUUAGGGUCUCUUCCAAAGUUUUCCUAGGUCUUCCUCUACCCCUUCGGCCCUGAACCUCUGUCCUAUAGUCGCAUCUUCUAAUCGGAGCGUCAGUAGGCCUUCUUUGCACAUGUCCAAACCACCGUAACCGAUUUUCUCUCAUCUUUCCUUCAAUUUCGGCUACUCCUACUUUACCCCGGAUAUCCUCAUUCCUAAUCUUAUCCUUUCUCGUGUGCCCACACAUCCAACGAAGCAUCCUCAUAUCCGCUACACCCAUUUUGUGUACGUGUUGAUGCUUCACCGCCCAACAUUCUGUGCCAUACAGCAUCGCCGGCCUUAUUGCCGUCCUAUAAAAUUUUCCCUUGAGCUUCAGUGGCAUACGGCGGUCACACAACACGCCGGAUGCACUCUUCCACUUCAUCCAUCCAGCUUGUAUUCUAUGGUUGAGAUCUCCAUCUAAUUCUCCGUUCUUUUGCAAGAUAGAUCCUAGGUAAUGAAAACGGUCGCUCUUUGGUAUUUUUUGAUCUCCGAUCCUCACCCCUAACUCGUUUUGGCAUCCAUUUGCACUGAACUUGCACUCCAUAUAUUCUGUCUUUGAUCGGCUUAGGCGAAGACCUUUAGAUUCCAACACUUCUCUCCAAAGGUUAAGCUUUGCAUUUACCCCUUCCUGAGUUUCAUCUAUCAACAUUAUAUCGUCUGCGAAAAGCAUACACCAAGGAAUAUCAUCUUGAAUAUGUCCUGUUAACUCAUCCAUUACCAACGCAAAAAGGUAAGGACUUAAGGAUGAGCCUUGAUGUAAUCCUACAGUUAUGGGAAAGCUUUCGGUUUGUCCUUCAUGAGUUCUUACGGCAGUCUUUGCUCCUUCAUACAUAUCCUGUAUAGCUUGGAUAUAUGCUACUCGUACUCCUUUCUUCUCUAAAAUCCUCCAAAGAAUGUCUCUUGGGACCCUAUCAUACGCUUUUUCCAAAUCUAUAAAGACCAUGUGUAAAUCCUUUUUCCCAUCUCUAUAUCUUUCCAUCAAUCUUCGUAAGAGAUAGAUUGCCUCCAUGGUUGAGCGCCCUGGCAUGAACCCGAAUUGGUUGUCCGAAACCCGUGUCUCUUGCCUCAAUCUAUGCUCAAUGACUCUCUCCCAAAGCUUCAUUGUAUGACUCAUUAGCUUAAUACCCCUAUAGUUCAUGCAAUUUUGUACAUCGCCCUUAUUCUUGUAGAUAGGCACCAAAGUGCUCAUUCGCCACUCAUUUGGCAUCUUCUUCGUUUUCAAAAUCCUAUUGAAAAGGUUAGUGAGCCAUGUUAUACCUGUCUCUCCCAAAACUUUCCACACUUCGAUUGGUAUAUCGUCUGGGCCUACUGCUUUUCUAUGCUUCAUCUUCUUCAAAGCUACAACCACUUCUUCCUUCCGGAUUUUACGAUAAAAAGAGUAGUUUCUACACUCUUCUGAGUUACUCAACUCCCCUAAAGAAGCACUCCUUUCAUGUCCUUCAUUGAAAAGAUUAUGAAAAUAACCUUUCCAUCUGUCUUUAACCGCGUUCUCUGUAGCAAGAACCUUUCCAUCCUUAUCCUUGAUGCACCUCACUUGGUUUAGGUCUCUUGUCUUCUUUUCCCUUGCUCUAGCUAGUUUAUAGAUAUCCAACUCUCCUUCUUUGGUAUCUAGUCGCUUAUACAUAUCGUCAUAAGCCGCUAACUUAGCUUCUCUCACAGCUUUCUUCGCCUCUUGCUUCGCUUUUCUAUACCUUUCACCAUUUUCAUCGGUCCUAUCCUUGUAUAAGGCUUUACAACAUUCCUUCUUAGCCUUCACCUUUGUUUGUACCUCCUCAUUCCACCACCAAGAUUCCUUUUUGGUGUGGGGCAAAGCCCUUGGACUCUCCUAAUACCUCUUUUGCUACUUUUCGGAUACAACUAGCCAUGGAAUCCCAUAUUUGGUUAGCUUCCCCCUCUCUAUCCCACACACACUGGGUGAUUACUUUCUCUUUGAAAAUGGCUUGUUUUUCUUCUUUUAGAUUCCACCAUCUAGUCCUUGGGCACUUCCAAGUCUUGUUCUUUUUUCUCACUCUUUUGAUAUGUACAUCCAUCACCAACAAGCGAUGUUGAUUAGCCACGCUCUCUCCUGGUAUAACUUUGCAAUCCUUACAAGUUAUACGAUCCCUUUUCCUCAUUAGAAGAAAAUCUAUUUGUGUUUUUGACGACCCACUCUUGUAGGUGAUCACAUGUUCUUCUCUCUUCUUAAAGAAUGUGUUGGCUAAGAAGAGAUCAUAUGCCAUUGCAAAAUCCAAGAUAGCUUCCCCAUCCUCGUUUCUCUCCCCAAAACCAUGGCCACCAUGAAAACCUCCAUAGUUGCCUGUCUCCCUGCCCACGUGUCCAUUUAAAUCUCCUCCUAUAAAUAACUUCUCCGUCUGAGCAAUUCCUUGCACCAAGUCUCCAAGGUCUUCCCAAAAUUUCUCCUUCAAACUCAUAUCCAACCCUACUUAAGGUGCGUACGCACUAAUCACAUUGAUAAGUUCUUGUCCUAUUACAAUCUUGAUUGCCAUGAUUCUAUCUCCUACCCUCUUGACAUCUACAACAUCUUGUGUCAAGGUCUUGUCCACGAUGAUGCCAACACCGUUUCUCGUUCUAUUUGUGCCCGAAUACCAUAGUUUAAACCCUGAGUUUUCUAGAUCCUUUGCCUUACGACCAACCCACUUAGUUUCUUGUAGGCACAUAAUAUUUAUCCUUCUCCUCACCAUAACUUCUACUACUUCCAUAGAUUUUCCCGUCAAGGUUCCUAUAUUCCACGUUCCUAAACGCAUUUUGCUCUCUUGAACUCUACCCUUCUGUCCUAGCUUCUUCACCCUUCCCCGUCUAAUAGGAUCAAAGUACUUCUUUUGUGUGUCCCGUGUAAAGUUGAUAGGAGCAUAUGCUCCCAAACAACUUUGAGUGGAGUCGUUCGAAAAGAAGUUUCUAUAACCCCCUUGCUCAUUUAACAUUGCAUCCGGGUGCCGAUGGAGAUGCAGCGACCCUUGCUCACUUAUCACUGUGCUCGGGCCACACAGCGCGCCACUUACGGGUGACGCCCUAGCUUUAGCGCGAUUUCGUUCUGGAUUCAUUUUCAUAAGGAUUCGACGUGAUCAUGGAGUGCCGACUGUCGACUACCUGACGCCCUCCCCCUCCUCCUUUAUCCGGGCUUGGGACCGGCAAUGUAAGAUAAACUUACACGGCAGAGUUUCAUGAUAUGACAUGUACAUAAUAAAAUUUCAUUCUCAACUCUACGAUAGUUUCAUAAAAGUCUUUCAUUUGCUUCUCUUUGAUGCAUGAAAGUUUUAUUUACAAACAACAUAUCCUAUUUUUUGUCAUAAUUCUUCUAGUGAUCGAUUCAACCUCUGAUAAAGAAGAUUAUACGUACUUAGGUUAUAUUUCACCUCUUGAAUAAGUUCAAUAAUGAUCAUAACAGCCCUAUUGCUCCUAUUGAGAGAUGCGAUCAAUAAAGUAAUCAGCAAGCGUGAUAGAAGAAAAUUUAUUGAGAAGUUUCUGGGAAUAUUGAGAGGUUUUGGCGGUUGAAUGAGCUUGAAAGUACUGCCAAAGCUAGCCAAAGAGCCGGAGUACUCCUAGAGAAACAGCUAAAAGCAAUAGAAAGUGAUAAACCGAAAAAGGAAGUGGCUUAGGAGGUGUCACGUGAAAGAGGAGCCAAGGAAGUUAACCUUUCCAAAUAUGUAACGUAAGUGUGUUGCACAAUAAUUAAAAAUACCGACUCACAUUUGUGAGUUGGCAUUCACAAAUAUGCUUGUUCUAAUGUCAUGGGUGCUUGGCUUUUCUGUACUACAGCCACCUACUGCUAAACGCUAAUAAAGUAAUCAUCACAAUUCAGCCUUCAUGCAACAACAUAGCCUCAUCUUCUCUCUAUAAAUACCAAGGACCCUUUGUAUUCUGGAUCUCGUGGCAAAGACGGAAUAUCAGAAAGAUAUAAGAGGAUACAGGGCUAAGCUAUAUAGCUUCAUAGUAAAACCCUGUUCCUUCAGUUUCAGUUUCAGUUGCUACACAUCUCCAAAGAGAGAACUCUAGCUACCAUGACUGCAUCAACUUCUCACCAUCCAUUGGCUUUUGCCUUUGGCAUUCUAGGUAUAACAAUAUAUUAGCAUUCCGCACACCCCUUUUCUUCCCAUGCACACCCCUACUUAUUUAUGAUCUUUAGAUUGAAUAAGGGGAGGAAAUAAACUGCAUUGUGCAAAAUCGUUUCUCUUUAGUUUUCCUUAUUCUACUUUUCUUCAAUAGAAAUUAACUUCUCUUCUUCUUACGAUGUUCAAUUUAAACAGGCAACAUUGUCUCAUUCAUCGUUUUUCUAGCUCCGCUGUAAGUUUCUUUUUGUUAUUUAUUUCAGGGAUAAUGAGGCAAUUAACGAGAUUUAAGUAGUAAUUUAACUUCGACUAAUGUUUUGGGUGAUGCAGGCCGACAUUUUGGAGGGUGUAUAAAAAGAAAUCGACGGAGGGAUUUCAAUCAGUUCCAUAUGUGUUUGCACUAUUCAGUGCAAUGAUAUGGAUAUACUAUGCAUUCCUCAAGUCUCAUGUGAUCCUGCUCAUCACCAUCAACUCAUUCGGUUGUGUCAUAGAGACCAUUUAUAUUGCAAUUUACCUUACAUAUGCAACUAAGCAUGCGAGGGUGAGUAGUGCCACCUUCGCAGUUCGAUUAGUUUAGCUGAAUUCCAUGUAGAAUAUGACUUGUAUAAAGGACUUAAUUAGAAUUAAUAAAUUAAAUUUGGGUGCAGGUGUCUACUCUGAGGCUGCUUUUACUGGUGAACUUCGGGGGAUUUUGCUUGAUUCUUCUUCUGUCUCACUUCUUGUCACAAGGGCCGACCCGCGUCGAAGUUCUUGGAUGGGUUUGUGUGACUUUCUCUGUCAGUGUCUUUGCAGCACCUUUAAGCGUCAUGGUAAUUGAUUAAUCAAGUACUGUUAUCAAAUCUUUAAAGGUUUAACAUAAUCUCAAUCUAUAUGCAUUAAGAUAUUAAUAUAUGCAUGAUUUGAUUUUGUGUGUUACAGAGAAUGGUUAUCCGCACCAAGAGCGUGGAGUUCAUGCCGUUUAAUUUAUCCUUCUUCCUCACCCUAAGUGCCGUUAUGUGGCUCUGUUAUGGCUUACUCCUCAAGGAUCUCUACGUUGCAGUAAGUCAUUUUAUUUGUGUAUAAUAAAACUAAUAUUUAUUAUUUUUACGGCUAUUCCUGUUUAAUUAGUAAGCUAGGUGUGUCGGUUAACCUGUCCUUAAUUGUGGAGUAACUUGCUUUUGAUGAUUUUUAAAAUAGAAAAAUCUGGUGAUUAUAUGUAAAUGUGUGCCACCAUGCAUGUAUAACGCUAGCUUGAUCACAUCAAGCUUUAACUGGCUUAUAUCGUGGCAAACAAAAAAAAGGCCGUGAUUACCUUAUAAAGGUUAAAAGUGUAUUAGAUAAUAGAAUAAUUUAAUUAAAAAGCAUAUGCUGAUUAUAAGGAAAUGAAAAAAAUCAAUCAUUUGUUAUGCAAACACUGUCCCUUAAUGGACCACUCUCUUACGCCAGGUUUAAUUUAGUGGCAUAUAUUAAAGCAACAAGAACUAUUUAAGAAGCUACAAAAUUUAAUAAGGUUACUUUAUGGCCAUUUAUUUUGAUAUAUUGCAUCCCAUCUGCACGCAAGUUUUUCAAAUUUCCUCAUAUGAAUUUAACGUAGAAUAUCGUUUGUAUAAGAAUAUAUCCGCUGACUUUAAUUAAUUAAUCACAUGAUCUUUUCAUUUGCAGACCCCAAACAUACUUGGUUUUUCCUUUGGGGUGGUUCAGAUGGCCCUCUAUGCAAAGUACAGGAACACCAAAACAAUUGUGGAGGAAAAGCUACCAGAACACAAGGCUGAUGUUGUGAAGCAAAUCAAAAUUUUAACUACUACUCCUGAGGUGGAGGUACAAGUCCAAGCACCUGUAACCUCGGAUACCAAUAGUACUGAUGCUCAUCAAAACUCUGAGCGUGGCACUGACCAAUAUGUGCAUGCACAAACAUGCCGUAACGAGAAGAUCAUCGAACCAUCCAUGCCAGGCCAACUGGUUACAUGUGAAGUUUGAAUAUUUUAUCAUCUGUCGUUUGCCUGCUUGUACCUGAACCAUCGAGAUCGAUCGCUCUAUAUAAAUGUUUAAGACGUCAUGAUGCAUAUGUAUCAUAGUGAACAUAUGUCCUUUUGGCGCAUCUUUAAUUUUCCAUGAUGUUUAAUUUUCCUUUAUCUUUGUGUAAGCAUAUGAGGUCGCGCACUUGGUGCGAUGGCAAGUGCCUUCGCCCAUGAGCGGUAGGUCUCGGGUUCGAGACUUGGGAGCAGCCUCUCCAUAAAUGGGGGUAAGGCUAGCCGACAUUCAUCUCUCCCAGACCCUGCGUAAAGCGGAAGCCUUAUGCACUGGGUACGACCUUUUGUGUAAGCAUAUGAGGCUGGUUCAUGUAUAGACUAGCCUCCUCUUGUUCUUUCGAGGGAAUAACUGUCUUCACAGUAAUUACAUAUGUUUCUUGGCCGUUAUGAAAUAAAAAUUGGUCUUUAAGCUGAAGAGAAAGAAGGGAUUUUGGUUUAUGCGCGCAUUAAUUGAAAUCCUAGAUUUUCAUCAUCGGACAAGAUUGCUUUAUUCAUUGUUGAAGGGUAAUGUUUGGUAAACUAAAUAUGCAAACUAAAUUAUGUGUCACCAAUAAAAAUAAACACGUUAAUUAACGCUGAAGUAAUAAUCAAAUCAUCAACUUCUAUAUCAUAUGGUUUACAAGAUUUUGUUUACAAAUUUAGUCUCCCUAACAUUACCCAUUGUUGAAACCAAGCCUUGGAUUGGAUUUUGGUUUUUGUCCUAGUACAUUAUUUUGAACAUGUACACAAUUUUACAGGUAGAUUAAUUUAUAUGCAUAGGUAUAGUGAUAAAUAUAUCAGUGUACAUAUGACUAUAAUAUAACCAUGUAUACAUUCAAAAUUAUGUACGUACAUAAGAAAAAAAUACUAGAACAAAAAUCCAAUUUAACACUCAAUUUUCAUGGAAAUAAAUUUAUUUAAUUAAGGAUGCAAAUAAAUAUUUUCCAAAAAAACAAAAAAAGUUGUGUUUGUAAAAUAGUGUUAUAUAAUGAAUUUAUGAACUAACUAUACUGAUAUAUAUUUAAUCCAAUCACCAAUAUGACAGUGAGAUGUUAUUUUAAUAACUUUCCUCAAAUCAUAUCUACUAAGUUAACAACAAAUAACAUCGCCAAAAACAAUGCCACGUUAGCCUAACCAGACAAACGAAGCCAAUCGCUUACCCAAGUAAAUCCCCAUAGACUAAAUUCGCUAGUCUCUCACUCUAAGCCAUGUAAGUCCACAUUCUAGGUCUCGACACAAAUGAUACAAUGAUGGAUGUAUCAACAUCUGCUGAAAUGCAAGGGUCCAGAGACCAAUGCUCUUUUUCCACCAAAAAUACGCCCGUAAUAGUUUAACAUGUAUGAUUACCUAAGUUACAAUUUAACAUGUAUAUUUAAAGAUCAGGAGAAAUCGAAUCUUCUUAGCAAUCUUUCUCGUUCUUUCGAAAAAUACAUUGAACAGUUUAACCUACGUCGCGCAAAGUUGUUUUUUUAUAUUUUUUAUUUUUUUUCCUUUUGCUUUUCUCUUGCCCUUUUGCUUAUGAGUACAAAAUAAAUAAAUUAAAAUCUACUUACUAAAUAUAUAUACCAUUGAACUUGAUGGGAAAUGCAUUGUACGAAAUUAGUUUCAACGAUCAAACCGUCAAACUUGUUUGUGUAUACUUCGAGAUCACAUACGCCAAAAAUCCAAAAAAAAACAUUCAGAGAUCAAGUAACAGGACAAAACUUUUCGACGGUUAUAAAUGAAAAAGCACGAUUUAACGGUAGUUUUAACUUCGAUUUUGAUGAUUUUUUAAAGCUACACUCCUUGACCCUAUAUUAAUACAAUGAACUAAUUCGAUCUUCAAUUUAAAAUAUUUACACUAGUGGAUACCACAAAAUCUUAUGUUAUACUUGAUGAAAGUAUAAAUAAACUCUAAGUGAUAGUGAAUGUAUUGUUUUGAUGGGAGAUGCAUUGUACGAAACUAGUUUUAACGAUCCAACCGUCAAACUUAUUUGUAUAUGCUUCGAGAUCGCGUACACCAAAAAUCGCAAAAAAAAAACAUUCAGAGAUCAAGUAAUAGGACAAAACUUUUCGACGGUUAUAAAUGAAAAAGCACGCUUUAACGGUAGUUUUAACUUCGAUUUUGAUGAUUUUUUAAAGCUACACUCCUUGACCCUAUAUUAAUACAAUGAACUAAUUCGAUCUUCAAUUUAAAAUAUUUACACUAGUGGAUACCACAAAAUCUUAUGUUAUACUUGAUGAAAGUAUAAAUAAACUCUAAGUGAUAGUGAAUGUAUUGUUUUGAUGGGAGAUGCAUUGUACGAAACUAGUUUCAACGAUCCAACCGUCAAACUUAUUUGUAUAUGCUUCGAGAUCGCGUACACCAAAAAUCGUAAAAAAAAACAUUCAGAGAUCAAGUAACAGGACAAAACUUUUCGACGGUUAUAAAAGAAAAAGCACGAUUUAAUGGUAGUUUUAACUCCGAUUUUGAUGAUUUUUUACAGCUACACUCCUUGACCCUAUAUGAAUACAAUGAACUAAUUCGAUCUUGAAUUUAAAAUAUUUACACUAGUGGACAUCACAAAAUUUUAUGUUAUACUUGAUGAAAAUAUAAAUAAACUCAAAGUGUUAGUGAAUGUAUCGUUUUAAUGGGAUACACAUUGUACGAAACUAGUUUCAACGAUCCAACCGUCAAACGUGUUUGUAUAUGCUUUGAGAUCGCGUACGCCAAAAAUCACAAAAAAAUAACAUUCAAAGAUAAAGUAACGGGACAAAACUUUUCGACGGUUAUAAAGGAAAAAAUACGAUUUAACGGUAGUUUUAACUCCGAUUUUGAUGAUUUUUGAGAGCUACACUCUUUAAACCUAUAUGAAUACAAUGAACUAAUUUGAUCGUCAAUUUAAAACAUUUACACAAGUAGAUACCACAAUAGAAAAAGGCAAUGCAAGAACCCCCAAAAAAAAGCAAAAGGAAAAAAAAAAAAAAAAACUUUAGGUACAUCUGCGUCGUGCAAAGCUGUUUUGCGCGACGUAGGUACACCUGCGUCGCGCAAAGUUUUUUUUUUUUUCUCCUCUUCUUAGCUUUUGUUUCUCUAAACCUAUCAAAGUCCUUCAUACUCCUAGUCAUUCAUUCUACUCAUUCAAUUGUUCAAAACCAAAACUCAACUUGUUAAAAAUAAGCUAGCAUUGACAAAGAUAAUUAAAGAAAAACAUAAAUACAUAAAAAUAAAAAAAAUUCAAACAUAAAUGUAAUUAAUAAAUAGCUAAUUAAUAAAUCAAAUAAAUACAAUACCUGAAGGUGAAGAUGGUGAUGGUUGAGAGAGGUAGAGAGUCUGAAAGAGAGUGAGGGAGAGAGGUUGAGUGUGAAGAAAAAGGCCCCUAUGUGUGGUUAUUUAAGAAAAAAAAGUCGUUGACUUUGCGCGACGCCACCCACGUCGCGCAAAGUAUAUUUGCGCGACAAAGGAAUACGUCGCGCAAAGAUGUUUUGCGUGACGUAGGUGCACCUUCGUCGCGCAAAGCUGUUUUGCGCGACGCAUUCCUUCGUCGCUCAAAGUGCCGUCGCGCAAAGAUACUUUGCGCGACGAAAUUUGCUAUGUCGCGCAAGUUUCCGUCGCGCAAACAUGUUUUUGUACUAGUGCAUUAGACUUUGGUUUUAGGUAUUUUUUUGCAUGUUAUGCAAAUUCAAUCUAUACUAAAACCCAAAAACAACUGAAUCAUUGUUCAUAAGAACAGUGUAGUUCCGAUUUUGCCCUUGCUUAGUUUGUGUUAUUACAUGUCUGCCAUUCGGUGUUGAGUUAUUGAGCUGUCGUUCACUCUCUUCGACAGCACAGCAAGGAAACUCAGUUUCCUCCUCCAUUUGUUCAUUCCUGCUCACUUCAAUUUGAACGAAAAUGAUCCCCACCGAGUCUGGAGGGCUCCUCCAUUCCUCCCUUUGUUUGUGUUAUUACAAGUCUCCAUAUCUCUUCCCUCCGUGACUCAGCUGACGACGACGGGCUAUUUCCGUUUGAAAGCCGGCAAAUCGGACCUCAACGUUUGACCAAUCGUCUCCCUUUCAUCUCAGGAACAAGAAACAGCCGUUGCAUGCCUCGAUUUGUUACGGUUUCGAUGAGGAUUUUUUAAUACUCCUCAGAGUUUUCCUACGUUUAUGCGAUGAUUCCGGCGAAGGUCGUCGUCGAUGUUGGUCUCAAACUAUUCCUCAGCACCUCAGGUACCUUCUUCAUCUAUUGUAUGUAAAGAUUCUGCUUCAAAUAUUUGAUUUAAUAUAAAUGGGUUUUAUUUAAUUUUUCAUAUUUUUUUCCUUCAAAAUUCUGGGUUGUGCACAAAUUUUCGUUAGCAGGUCUCAAUCAAAGUUGUGUAUGCUUUGUGCAGAGAGAGAAAGCGGCUGGGAUAUGAGAAAUAAGCGUUUUUACAAAAUCUUAAUAUACCAGUGCGAGUGAAGUGUGUCUGUUUAGUACUAAUAUUUCAGUUCAAGUAAAGUUUACUGCAUUUUUCUACAAAUAGGUACGAUAAUGGUUUAUAGAUUCCCUAUUUAUAUCAUUGGAAUAUAUUUGUUCAAAGUAAUAUUACAAUGAUUUCGAACAAAGCUUAACCAUAAUAGGCAGUAGACAUUAUAUAUCUGCUAAUUUGUUGAAACUAUUGGUGCUCUAUAAAGAGAUAAAAUAUAUGUUACCCACAAAAUAUAAUGUGAAGAUUAUAAACUGUGAAGGGGAUCUCUUACUUCAUUGGAACAGGAACUGACGUAGAACUACGGAUAGAACCCCGGUAUCUACUUAUAUGUUGAGUUACACACUAAAUCUAUAAAUACUUUUUACAGAUAACAUGCAAAUUUCCUUCUUUCAGUCUGUUGUAUGCCUAUGACGUGAUAAACAUAUAAAAAGUUUGCGAAAAUUGAUGGCUCAUGUCAUAACAAAUACUUUUUCAAAUUCUAAGUUUUUAUCCGCUUUCGCUCUUUUUUGUUCAAUGGUUUCAAUUAAUUGCUUUUAGUAUAACAUGCCCAUAUGUUACCGGUUCUAUGUUACCGAGUAUAGCUUGAGGUUAUGAAUGUCCCUGAAAGCACCUUAAUUUUGUGUAUAAUUUAAGUUUUUGCAUUGUGAAGAUGAGCAAGUUGGCAUCUAGGAGUGCAUGUCACGUGAAGAUGAUAUUGGAGGCCUUACAGGUAGAAUCGUUCAGGUCAUUAUUUUGAGGAUUUGAUUUGAUUUGUUUUUUUUUUUUUCUCUUUAUUACUAAGAUUUUUCCUAACCACUUUACAUAUGGGGCUACCAAAAAACAUUGAAUUGGCACCAAAAUGGCCGUAAUUUUCAUUUUACAUAAUUUUUGCAAUCCUUUGUUGAAAUAUGCAGCACAUGGUAGGAGAUAAUUCUUCUUCAUUGUGAACAUUCAGGUAAAUCUGUCUUUCAUGGGUUUUUCUAUUAUUCUUUGCAGUUUUUCCCUGUUGCUUGCCAUUAAUUACCAAAUUAUCUAUGUGAACUAGGUCCAAGUUCAACUACUUAUGGUUUGGCACUAUACUAUAUGAUGAAUUCUCCAAUCGAAGAUACACCCUUGCUACAGAGUUUUAUCAAGGGGGAUGAUUUAUAUGAAAUUCAAGGUUUAACUUCUAACUGAUUCUUCUCUCCUCAGGGUUCAUGGAUUGUUAAGCAAUGUGUGGGAAGAAAGCAUGCCUCAUUGACCAGGCACUUGAAAUCAAUUAUUUCCACGAGAAGAACUAUUUGGAGGUAUAUCAAUUUUUAGCAUGCUUUUAUAUAUGUUCUUUGAUCACCCUACUUUGUGGACAGCUUAUUGACACUUCACUGAAAUUCAAGGCCUUCUGUUUUCGGGUUCAAUUUGUUAGAGUAUAUAGAGUUAAGGUGAUUCCAAGUGUCACAUGAUUUGUCUAUAUAUUUGUGAGGUUCAAUCAAUGUCAUAUGAAGAUGGUAGCAUGUGUUACAAGAUUAAACCAUCUCAGUAUAGUGUCAAGAUGCAGUUAGUGAGUCAGUUAUUUUAGAGGGAUAUAAUCCUCACUCAUUGUGUAGUAUUGUUUUUGGUAAUUAAUUAAUUAUUUUAAAUGCAAUAUCAUGAAUAUUUAUACUCAUUUAUAUAUUUGUAAAGAACAUCAGAACACACGAAUGUAAUAUAUGUACAUAUUAAACACUACUCCUUAACACAUAUAUUUUCUACACUUUCUACAUUUUCAACAAUUUUCUAAACCCCGCAGCAACGCGCGAGUACACUUGCUUGUAUUGGUUCUAUUGCUGUCAUUAAGAGCACAACUGGUAGUGCUUGUUGCCACGUAUGCUUGUAUGCUACCUUCCCAGCUUUUGGUGUAUUCUUUCUUCUUUUUUUUCGGUAACAAGCUUUUGGUGUAUCCAAUUCAACUAUAUUCUUCCGUUGACGACAAGUAUGACAAUAUAUAUGACAUUGUUCCUUGCAUUACAACAACAACAACAACAACAACAACAACAAAGCCUUUUCCCACUAAGUGGGGUCGGCUAUAUGAAUCCUAGAACGCCAUUGCGCUCGGUUUUGUGUCAUGUCCUCCGUUAGAUCCAAGUACUCUAAGUCUUUUCUUAGAGUCUCUUCCAAAGUUUUCCUAGGUCUUCCUCUACCCCUUCGGCCCUGAACCUCUGUCCCGUAGUCACAUCUUCGAACCGGAGCGUCAGUCGGCCUUCUUUGCACAUGUCCAAAUCACCGGAGCCGAUUUUCUCUCAUCUUUCCUACAAUUUCGGCUACUCCUACUUUACCUCGGAUAUCCUCAUUCCCAAUCUUAUCCUUUCUCGUGUGCCCACACAUCCCACGAAGCAUCCUCAUCUCCGCUACACCCAUUUUGUGUACGUGUUGAUGCUUCACCGCCAACAUUCUGUGCCAUACAACAUCGCUGGCCUUAUUGCCGUCCUAUAAAAUUUUCCCUUGAGCUUCAGUGGCCUACGACGGUCACACAACACGCCGGAUGCACUCUUACACUUCAUCCAUCCAGCUCGUAUUCUAUGGUUGAGAUCUCCAUCUAAUUCUCCGUUCUCUUGCAAGAUAGAUCCUAGGUAGCGAAAACGGUCGCUUUUUGUGAUCUUCGCUAGAUUGCUCCGGUCAUUAGUGUGGAUAAGUAUAUAAAUGGAUAGAGAUAGGAAAGCAAACACAAGAUGUACGUGGUUCACCCAGAUUGGCUACGUCCACGGAAUAGAAGAGUUCUCAUUAAUUGUGAAGGGUUUACACAAGUACAUAGGUUCAAGCUCUCCUUUAGUGAGUACAAGUGAAUGAUUUAGUACAAAUGACAUUAGGAAAUAUUGUGGGAGAAUGAUCUCGUAAUCACGAAACUUCUAAGUAUCGGAGUGUGGUGUCGUCUUGACUUGCCUUAUCUGUCUCAUAGGUAGAUGUGGCAUCUUCUCUGGAAGUACUCUUCCUCCAUCCAGGGGUGGUAUCUUUAACUGGUGGAGAUGCACAAGGUAAUGUAUCAAUUUCACUUGAAGCUUACUUGUAGUUUCAGGCUUGGUCAAGCGCGAUACAAACCAUGUAGUAGGAGUCCCCCAAGUCGCCGAGCUAGGGGGUCUGCUGAAAGAGGUGACAGACAAGGUAAGCAAUCAGAGCUCCGACUGAUUGUUCACCUUUUCCCCAUCUUGCAGCAGCAUGAAGGAUAAAGAGAAGAAAAAUGAGAAGAGAUGAUAUGAGAUACUUUUGCUUUUGAAGAAGUAACUUUCCACAGGCUUAUUCUUGAACUGAGCUGGAGGGUUUUCUGGUUUCCUCCAGAGUAUAAGGCCGACUGAAGAAUUUGAGGGUCAAAACAAGUCCAUCAAAUCUAGAGUACGUUCGACCCUGCUGAUAUGGGAUACUUUUGCUUUUGACAGAGUAAUGGAUGUAUCGGCACGUGUGCUGUUACGCUUGUCUCCACAUGCUUCCUUGUAUCCUUCGCACUUGCCCUAUCUGUUCCUCAAGCAGAUGCGGAAUCUUCCCUGGAAACAUAAGAUGUUGAAGAUGAGUACUCGAGAGCAAUGCCAGGUAAGUAAUCAGGUAAGGGGUUCCAGGCAGUCAGUUCCUGGCUGGAAGCUUGAUUCCAAGUGCUGACUGAUUGCUCUCUUUCUCCUUGUCUUGCAGGUAAAAACAAGGCCAAAGGAAAAGACAGGGAAAAAGCAUGAUAUGGGAUACUCUUGCUUUUAACCCUGAUGAUAUGAGAUAUUCUUGCUCUAGUAUAGCUUGUUUGCAGAGGUAUUAUCGGGGGGAAAGAAAGCUGAAUAUUUCGAAAGGCUUCGUUGGGAGUGCCCUCUCAGAUAUGAUGAAGGGUUGAGCAUUUUUGCAGGUCUGCCUGUCCGUUGGGGAUGGAGGUCGACAUAUAUAGGAGUCUCCCUAACAACAAGUAGUAAUGCUAUUCCUUUACCCUGCUUGGUCAUAGCACGGUAGUGGGAGCUGCCAGUUUCACAUGUUUUAACUCUGUCAGAGCACUUUGAAAAAGUGGUCUGUGGUAUCUGGCUCUCGAGAUUCGGAGAACGAUGCCUCUUCGAUUUUUGAGAAAGCAAUCAUGCUGGGGGUCUGGCUCUCGAGAUUCGGAGAGCAGUGUCUCUUCGAUUUUUGAGGAAGUAAUCAUGUUGGGAGUCUGGCUCUCGAGAUUCGGAGGCGGUGCCUCUUCGAUUUUGGAGCAAGCAAUCUUGUUGGGAGUGUUGUCUCGAAUGUGAGUAAAGGUUGGGCAUGUUUGCUAGUCUACCUUGCCACGAAGCACAAAGGUUGACACACAGGGACUUUCCAAUUAUCCAGCAAUGGUACUGUUCCUUUACCCUCUCUUCGAUUUUGAGAAAGUAGUCAUGUUGGGAGUCUGGCUCUCGAGAUUCGGAGGACGGUGCCUCUUCGAUUUUGGAGCAAGCAAUCUUGUUGGGAGUGUUUUUCUCGAAUGUGAGUAAAGGUUGGGCAUGUUUGCUAGUCUACCUUGCCACGAAGCACAGAGGUUGACACACAGGGACUUUCCAAUUAUCCAGCAGUGGUACUGUUCCUUUACCCUUGUGGGUAAUAAUAUGGUAGCUAGACCUUCAAAAUUUAUGGGUCUAAACUUUGUUAGUGCUGUUUCUUUGCUAUUCUUUUACCCUUCUUGGUCAGAGCGAUGUAGUGGGAGCUGCAAGCUUCACGUGCUCAACUUUGGCAGAGAACUUUGGCAAAGUUAUCUGUGGUACCCAUGAGCUAUUGUUGCGUGUGGGAAGUGGGUGAUUGAACAGUAAGAUUCAUGUGUUUUCUACUUCCCCAGAAGUCUUCGACAGAAUGCCCAUAAUUUCCGCAAAGCUGAGUGUGCGUGUGACAGGUGCUGACAAGGCUGGAAAAGUAGGUGCCUCUUCGAUUUCUGAGAUCGGCCCUCGUGGUCUCUGGGGAGCCCAGCUUUUGAGAAAGCGAGCGCCUCUUCGAUUUCUGAGAUCGGCCUUCGUGGUCUUUGAGCAGCCCAACUUUUGAGAAAGCAAACGCCUCUUCGAUUUCUGAGAUCAACCCUCGUGAUCUCUAAGCAGCCCAGCUUUUGAGAAAGCAAACGCCUCUUCGAUUUCUGAAGCUCCGUCGAGUGCAGAUUUUUAUAGGGGCUGGCAUUAAGUUCCAAAGCACACUUGAAUCUCCACCAGUAGAAGCUUCAUUCUUGCACUUCUAAGAUCUUGAUUUGUCCGACCUCUUUCUCUCUUCAACACCUUUGAAAAUGUCUGGGCCCUCCGACCGUCGUUUUGACUUGAACCUUGUUGAAGAGGCAGCCCCGCCUUCUCCAGACAACAUAUGGCGCCCAUCCUUCGUCUCCCCUACUGGUCCUCUUACCGUUGGGGAUUCCGUGAUGAAGAAUGAUAUGACCCGCUGCGGUGGUGGCCAGGAACCUUCUCACUCCCAAAGAUAACAGACUACUUUCCAAACGGUCUGAUGAGUUAGCUGUUAAGGAUUCGCUGGCUCUCAGUGUUCAGUGUGCAGGUUCUGUGUCUAAUAUGGCCCAACGCCUAUUUGCUCGAACCCGCCAAGUUGAAUCAUUGGCGGCUGAAGUGAUGAGUCUCAAACAGGAGAUUAGAGGGCUCAAGCAUGAGAAUAAACAGUUGCACCGGCUCGCACAUGACUAUGCUACAAACAUGAAGAGGAAGCUUGACCAGAUGAAGGAAACUGAUGGUCAGGUUUUACUUGAUCAUCAGAGAUUUGUGGGUUUGUUCCAAAGGCAUUUAUUGCCUUCGUCUUCUGGGGCUGUACCGCGUAAUGAAGCUCCAAAUGAUCAACCUCUGAUGCCUCCUCCUUCUAGGGUUCUGUCCAGUACUGAGGCUCCAAAUGAUCCCCCUCCGGUGCCUUCUCUUUCUGGGGCUCUACCGACUGCUGAGACUUCUUCUCCUAAGCAACCUUUGUGAAGGCUCCCUCUUGUUUGUUUAUUUUGACUCAUGUAUAUGUACAUAUUUGUAGCUUAUCGGGGAUAUCAAUAAAUAAGCUUUCCUUCAUUUCAACGUAUUGUGUUAAAUACACCAAAGCCUUCUUCGCUAAGUUUCUUUGAAUUUUCUUUUGUUGAAGCUUGUAUGUUGAAGCUUUCUGAGUGGAGCAUGUAGGUUGGGGUAGUGUUCCCUUAAUUUCCCGAGUGAGGAAAACUUCUCGGUUGGAGACUUGGAAAAUCCAAGUCACUGAGUGGGAUCGGCUAUAUGAAUCUUAGAACGCCAUUGUGCUCGAUCCUGUGUCAUGUCCUUCGUUAGAUCCAAGUACUCUAAGUCUUUUCUUAGAGUCUCUUCCAAAGUUUUCCUAGGUCUUCCUCUACCCCUUCGGCCCUGAACCUCUGUCCCAUAGUCGCAUCUUCUAAUCGGAGCGUCAGUAGGCCUUCUUUGCACAUGUCCAAACCACCGUAACCGAUUUUCUCUCAUCUUUCCUUCAAUUUCGGCUACUCCUACUUUACCCCGGAUAUCCUCAUUCCUAAUCUUAUCCUUUCUCGUGUGCCCACACAUCCAACGAAGCAUCCUCAUCUCCGCUACACCCAUUUUGUGUACGUGUUGAUGUUUCACCGCCCAACAUUCUGUGCCAUACAGCAUCGCCGGCCUUAUUGCCGUCCUAUAAAAUUUUCCCUUGAGCUUCAGUGGCAUACGGCGGUCACACAACACGCCGGAUGCACUCUUCCACUUCAUCCAUCCAGCUUGUAUUCUAUGGUUGAGAUCUCCAUCUAAUUCUCCGUUCUUUUGCAAGAUAGAUCCUAGGUAACGAAAACGGUCGCUCUUUGGUAUUUCUUGAUCUCCGAUCCUCACCCCUAACUCGUUUUGGCCUCCAUUUGCACUGAACUUGCACUCCAUAUAUUCUGUCUUUGAUCGGCUUAGGCGAAGACCUUUAGAUUCCAACACUUCUCUCCAAAGGUUAAGCUUUGCAUUUACCCCUUCCUGAGUUUCAUCUAUCAACACUAUAUCGUCUGCGAAAAGCAUACACCAAGGAAUAUCAUCUUGAAUAUGUCCUGUUAACUCAUCCAUUACCAACGCAAAAAGGUAAGGACUUAAGGAUGAGCCUUGAUGUAAUCCUACAGUUAUGGGAAAGCUUUCGGUUUGUCCUUCAUGAGUUCUUACGGCAGUCUUUGCUCCUUCAUACAUAUCCUUUAUAGCUUGGAUAUAUGCUACUCGUACUCCUUUCUUCUCUAAAAUCCUCCAAAGAAUGUCUCUUGGGACCCUAUCAUACGCUUUUUCCAAAUCUAUAAAGACCAUGUGUAAAUCCUUUUUUCCCAUCUCUAUAUCUUUCCAUCAAUCUUCGUAAGAGAUAGAUUGCCUCCAUGGUUGAGCGCCCUGGCAUGAACCCGAAUUGGUUGUCCGAAACCCGUGUCUCUUGCCUCAAUCUAUGCUCAAUGACUCUCUCCCAGAGCUUCAUUGUAUGACUCAUUAGCUUAAUACCCCUAUAGUUCAUGCAAUUUUGUACGUCGCCCUUAUUCUUGUAGAUAGGCACCAAAGUGCUCGUUCGCCACUCAUUUGGCAUCUUCUUCGUUUUCAAAAUCCUAUUGAAAAGGUCAGUGAGCCAUGUUAUACCUGUCUCUCCCAAAAGUUUCCACACUUCGAUUGGUAUAUCGUCUGGGCCUAUUGCUUUUUUUAUGCUUCAUCUUCUUCAAAGCUACAACCACUUCUUCCUUCCGGAUUCGACGAUAAAAAGAGUAGUUUCUACACUCUUCUGAGUUACUCAACUCCCCUAAAGAAGCACUCAUUUCAUGUCCUUCAUUGAAAAGAUUAUGAAAAUAACCUCUCCAUCUGUCUUUAACCGCGUUCUCUGUAGCAAGAACCUUUCCAUCCUCAUCCUUGAUGCACCUCACUUGGUUUAGGUCCCUUGUCUUCUUUUCCCUUGCUCUAGAUAGUUUAUAGAUAUCCAACUCUCCUUCUUUGGUAUCUAGUCGUUUAUACAUAUCGUCGUAAGCCGCUAACUUAGCUUCUCUGACAGCUUUCUUCGCCUCUUGCUUCGCUUUUCUAUACCUUUCACCAUUUUCAUCGGUCCUCUCCUUGUAUAAGGCUUUACAACAUUCCUUCUUAGCCUUCACCUUUCGUUUGUACCUCCUCAUUCCACCACCAAGAUUCCUUUUGGUGUGGGGCAAAGCCCUUGGACUCUCCUAAUACCUCUUUUGCUACUUUUCGGAUACAACUAGCCAUGGAAUCCCACAUUUGGCUAGCUUCCCCCUCUCUAUCCCACACACAUUGGGUGAUUACCUUCUCUUUGAAAAUGGCUUGUUUUCUUCUUUUAGAUUCCACCAUCUAGUCCUUGGGCACUUCCAAGUCUUGUUCUUUUGUCUUACUCUUUUGAUAUGUACAUCCAUCACCAACAAGCGAUGUUGAUUAGCCACGCUCUCUCCUGGUAUAACUUUGCAAUCCUUACAAGUUAUACGUUAUACGAUCCCUUUCUUUUCUCAUUAGAAGAAAAUCUAUUUGUGUUUUUUGACGACCCACUCUUGUAGGUGAUCACAUGUUCUUCUCUCUUCUUAAAGAAGGUGUUGGCUAAGAAGAGAUCAUAUGCCAUUGCAAAAUCCAAGAUAGCUUCCCCAUCCUCGUUUCUCUCCCCAAAACCAUGGCCACCAUGAAAACCUCCAUAGUUGCCUGUCUCCCUGCCCACGUGUCCAUUUAAAUCUCCUCCUAUAAAUAACUUCUCCGUCUGAGCAAUUCCUUGCACCAAGUCUCCAAGAAGAUCUUCCCAAAAUUUCUCCUUCGAACUCGUAUCCAACCCUACUUGAGGUGCGUACGCACUAAUCACAUUGAUAAGUUCUUGUCCUAUUACAAUCUUGAUUGCCAUGAUUCUAUCUCCUACCCUCUUGACAUCUACAACAUCUUGUACCAAGGUCUUGUCCACGAUGAUGCCAACACCGUUUCUCGUUCUAUUUGUGCCCGAAUACCAAAGUUUAAACCCUGAGUUUUCUAGAUCCUUUGCCUUACUACCAACCCACUUAGUUUCUUGUAGGCACAUAAUAUUUAUCCUUCUCCUCACCAUAACUUCCACUACUUCCAUAGAUUUUCCCGUUAAGGUUCCUAUAUUCCACGUUCCUAAACGCAUUUUGCUCUCUUGAACUCUACCCUUCUGUCCUAGCUUCUUCACCCUCCCCCGUCUAAUAGGAUCAAAGUACUUCUUUUGUGUGUCCCGGGUAAAGUUGAUAGGAGCAUAUGCUCCCAAACAACUUUGAGUGGAGUCGUUCGAAAAGAAGUUUCUAUGGCCCCCUUGCUCAUUUAACACUGCAUCCGGGUGCCGAUGGAGAUACAGCGACCCUUGCUCACUUAUCACUGUGCUCGGGCCACACAGCGCGCCACUUACGGGUGACGCCCUAGCUUUAGCGCGAUUUUGUUCUGGAUUCAUUUUCAUAAGGAUUCGACGUGAUCAUGGAGUGCCGGCUGUCGACUACCUGACGCCCUCCCCCUCCUCCUUUAUCCGGGCUUGGGACCGGCCAUGUAAGACAUAGGCGGAGUUACAUUGUUCCUUGCAUUACGUUAGAGAAAAUUAUAAAUAAUAGUUACAAUCAUGUAUAAAAAAAGAAUUUAAUAAUAUAGAACGGAAAAUCUUUACGUAUAAUGAUCACAUAAUGAGUUUUACUUAAAUCUUUUUUUCUUAAGUUUUACAAUUGUGUUAACUUGUUAAUAUGAGCUUUAUUAAUGGCUUGGUGCCUCAUGAUAUUGUUGAUAUUAUUAAAGCCAUAUCAAUUCCUCUGGAGCUUUGUUUGGGGUUCCUAAAACUAAAGAUAAAUUCACCAUUAUGAAAUCAGCAGCUAUAUCGAUUGUGCGGAUUACUACGUUUUUAACACUACUCUCAUGAAUAAAGUGUGGACGUCAUGCAUUCCUCUGAAAGUAAGUUAUUUGCUUGGCUUCUUAUUCGAAAGAGACUCAAUACGAAAGAGAGGAUUCACAAGUUCGUCAUUGGGAGAGCUCUUGCUGCCAUAUAUGUAACCUGGAAGAUGAGUGCGUUAAUCACUUAUUUAUAAGAUACCCUGUUGCAAUGCAGAUUUGAACCAUUGCCCCUCUUCAGUUAAUCCUGUUGGGAAGGAUGAUCUGAUUCAUUGGCUUGAUAAUCUUGAUGCCAAUUCUAACUUGGAUGUUGGCUUGUCUCCUCUUUCCCUUGCUCUUAUGAUUUCUGGUAGUUGUGGAAAGAUCGGAACGAUUGGCUGUUUAAUGAAAAACUUUCGAUUGUUUCUAGGGUUUUUCAUAAAGCUAUGGUGAUUGUCAAUAACUACCGCGAUUGUAAUUCUUCUAAAGGAGUUAAAUCUGUUCCUCCUGCCAUCGGUGGGAAACCUCCGGAUUAUCCUGCUUUCAAGUUGAUACUGAUGGGUCUGUAAUCUUGGAUGGGUUUGUAAUCUGGUGAUUGGCAAUAACUAUCGCAAGCUGCUUGUAGGUUCGUACUUUGGCAUCAGACCGGAUCUCCGAUUCUGGCUGGCGCCAGGAAGAUUGGCGUUGCGAAUGUUCUGGUUGCUGAAGGAAAGAUGGUCUUGGAGCAGCCUUUCAGAAAGAUCUAAAUUUCCUGGAAGUGGAGGAAGAUUCAAAGACGCUUAUUGAUUUGAUCAAUGGAGUCAUUUUUGCUCCUCCUUGGAGGACACGCACGAUCUUGUUCAAUAUUCAGAGGUUGGCCUGCAAGUUUCAAUCAAUCUGCUUCUCUCAUUUUUUAGAGAGGUGAAUUUUGUAGUGGAUGCCCUUGCAUCGAUUGGUCAGAGCUCUUGUAGUGAUUUGAGGUGGAUGCAGUCUCUUCUAGUGAUUUCAGUUGUUAAACUUACGUCUAAUUUGACAUCUAUGUAGUUCUCUUCUUCCAAAAUAUCCAGUGCAUAACGACAUAUACACUCAUGCAUUUAAACAAGUUUAUACAAUAUUCAAAAGUUUAAAUUAGAAUUGCAUUCUAUAAUUAUAUAAGAUGGCCUAUUAGAAAAAAAAAAAAAAAAAACUAUAUAAGAUAGAUAGCAUGCAAUAACUAUUUAAAAAAAAUAGAAAUUUCUAUCAUUCUCAAUAAAAAGAAAAAAAAAUAAAAAACGAACCAUUUUCGACUUGGAUAGGAUCAAGAGUAGGAUAUUUUUGUAGUGGGAUCUUUCUGUGUUUUGUUCUAUCAAAUGCUUACAGUAUCGGAGCAAUCGUCUCAUGGACCCUUUUUAAUUUAAUAGUGAUAGGAGAGUGCCGACGAACAUAAUGGACAAAUUUCAAAAUCUAUAACCAAUAAACUUUUCUUUACGCCGUCGAACCUAUUUUAUGUAAUAUUGGAACGCUAAGUGUUCACUUAAUCGGAGGCAUUUUUUGUGAGGAUAGACGGUGAGACAGUUAGGUUGUUAACUGGUGUUAUGAUGGAACCUUGGGCUCGUUUUGAAGUGUUUAAAAUAAUUGAAGGCACUUAUAAAGAAAUGUUUUUGGGCUCUAAAAGUACUUGAAAUGCUUUUAUGGGAAGGACUUCAAGUGUUUUUCAGGAAUCACUUGUAUUUUUACUGAUGAUUGCUUCUAAAAAUAUUUUCACUAAAAACGCUUUCAACCCUUUUAAAAGUACUUCUAAUCGAACUCUUUAACUUUUUAUGGUAUUAGAGUCAGGUUGGCCAACGUGUGAAACCCAACAGCCAUAGAUGUUUCACGUCAUUCAAUUAGUAUUGUCCACGUAUUAGGGUUAAAAAUUCGUCACAUACGAAGAAAAAGGACUUUGCAUGGAUUUUGAAGUUGGCUACUCCUACCUACUAGUAGUCUAUCACUAACUAUUUUGUUAGCUAAAUGACACAUUAGUAACCAUACUGAUGUUGUCUUUCAACUCGCGUUUUACAUGUACAACGUGGCAAAUGUGAGGGUCUUGGCAUAAAAGACUUUGAUAGAAUUCAUGGGAAUAUGGGAUUUUUUUUCAUUUUAAUCAAGAAUAUGAUAAAAAAAUAAUGCAACAUCAACCACAUUUUUUAUAUCACGUUCAUACUAUCUCUUUAACAGAAGUAUGACCCACCAACAAAUGUAUGUCUAUUUCUGUUAAAGAGGUGGUAUAAAUGUGGUAUGAAAAAUAUGGUUGAAGUAGCACUUUUGUCUGAUGAACGAUAAAAAAUUUAAAAUAUAUAAUAAGGGUAUAAAGAUAAUAAGAGGCCUAUUUUAAGUGAGGCCUGAGGCACGUUGUUCGCCUUACCUAUGGGCCGUCUCUGCCAAUUAUUGUUGUUGUCAGUGUUGCCCUAACAAAAUGCUUUCGUAGUUAAUGUUCUUUCUUAUCUUUAUACAUUUCACUGCUCCAUCAAAAAAUUUCAUAUGUACCUACUGUACUUAAAUUUGAUUAUUUUUAAGGACAAGGAUUGUUUGCCCUUCACUUCCAAUGCCCUCCUCGUGCCCUUCUGUUUGUGUGGUUAUGGUCAAGGAAGAAAAUAUCGGUAAUAUCGGAAAUAUCGGUAGUCCGAAAACACGGAAAUAUCGAUGGAAAUAUCGGGAUAAUAUCGAUAUCGAUAAAAAUUACAUGGAAACCACGGAAAUUGUAAGAAAAACUUGGAAAUUUUUAUUGAAACUUUGCAGGAUGUUUAUUUAGUCAAUUAUCUAUUAGUUUAUCACAAAAAAUUGGAAGGAAAUGCAUUGCAUGAUGGAUUUAACAUUAUCAAGUUGAUUAUAUAGCGAGCUGACAAACAUUGUGAGUGUAGAAAAUAUGUAGUAAUUAAUGAAAGAAAUUUAAACACACCAAUUGGGGCUUAUUGCGGCAAGUUUUUUAGAUAUGACCUCGCAUCAAGUCGUCUUUUGUGUUAAUUUGUAAUCUUAACUGGUUUUGUUGUGUUGUGUCAAUUAGUUAAAUUAAGUGGUACAUCCAAUUGGGGCUUAUAAACAUUUUAAUUCUCCUUAAAAAUCUAAGGGCAUUUAAUCAGGAUUUUAAGUAAUUAUUUAAAGUUUAAGGGGUAUUCGAUCAUGAUUUUUAAGAAAUUCAUACAUUCCAAAUGUAUUCAUUUAGAAAUUGAUUCGAAGAGAUUUUUAAAAAGUUGGGAAACUCGAAAAAAUUAGAAAUAUUUCACAUAAUAUUUUAAACAUUCUCAAAUCGCUCCCUAAAAAUUUGAGGGAAUUCACUUAAAAUUUUACAUAAAAGUUUUAAAAAUUAUUAAACUUCAUCAAAAUUCAUAAAUUUUUAAAUCUAUUAUAAUCCUUUAAAAUCUGAAUGGAGUAAAAAAUUCAAAUCUAAACCUAAUAUGAAACAAUCACUAAAUUACAUAGAAUUUCUAAACCAAAUCUAACAAGGAUCAAUUACAAUUCUAAUACGAUGUUGUAAUUACUUUGAGUUUUUUAGGGCAAUAUGUAACACCCACCCCCAUUUAUAAAGAUAUAUUUGUGUAAUUAUCCCCUAAACAUUUUAAUAUAUCAAAUUGGUCAUCUUUGACUACCUAAUUAGGAUCCAAAACAUUGGAUUCCUUUCUUUCUGAAGUGGCCACGUGGCAACCCCCCUCCACUCUUCUCUUUUCUCUCUCUGUUCCCCCGUGACUCCCUUCUUCUUUUCUUCUUCUUCUUUCUGUUUUCUUUUCUGUUUUCUUCUAUCUCCCUCUCGGCUCUCUCUCUCAUAUCUCCCUCAUCUCUCUUUUCUGCACCGCAGCACGCACGCACCUAUCUCCCUGCGCGAGGAACAUCACCAUCACCAUCUCGUCCACAUGGCCGCGCUCCACCCUCAGUCUCUCGAUUGAUCCUUCUCCAUCCUUCUCCCUCAGUCUCUCCUUGUUUCUUCUUCGGUUCUCCCCCCUAUCUCUUCUCUGCAACUCACCUUCUCCCUCAGUCUCUCCUUGUUUCUUCUUCGGUUCUCCCCCCCCAUUUCUUCUUCGGCUGCAGUUGCAAUGACGACGGAGGAUCCUCGGCGAUAUUAUGGCUAAUAUCGCGAUAAUAUCGCUAAUAUCGCGAUAUUAUCGAUAUUAGCAAUAUUAUCGCGAUAUUAUUACGAUAAUUAAGUGUAAAAGUUGAAAAUAUCGCUAUGUAAAAAUAACGAUAUUAUCGGCGAUAUUUCGCCAAUAAUAUCAAUAUUUUCUUCCCUGGUUAUGGUUAAGCCACGUUAACAUUUUAUAUUACUAUUCAUUUUUGUCUUAUUAUAUCUAUAAAAAAUAUAUAUAAAAUGUUGACGUGACUUAACCGUGACCACACAAAACAGGAGGGUACGGGGAAGGCACCGGAAGUGGAGGGCAGACAAUCCUUGUCCUAUUUUUAAACCGCCCAAGUUUGAGUUUUAGGAUUUGACCAUGGACAGUUUUGUAUAGCAUUUUUGUUUAAAAACUGUUGGAGAAUAGGAUCUCAUAUCGGGCGUAUGACAAAAUAAUAUACAAUUAAUAUAUGAGAAUUUUCAUCCCUAAUAUCACCAUAACCUUUUGUGAUAAAACACAACACCUAGCAAAAAGUGGUUAAGUUAGGACAAUAUUGGUGAUGUUGGUGGUGGAUCAUGUUGGGCCUAAAAGUUUAUCAUGGUAUCAAAUCAGGCUAUUCUUUCGAAACGUCAUGAGUUGGGAUCUCGAAAAGUUGUGGUAGCUCCAACUUAAGGAUAUUUUCGAAAAUUUGCGUUGGCUCUAGUGAAUGAAUGUUGACUAGGCUUUUGAAAAGCUAAGCUAAGUUGAGUAUAAGAACAAGUCCACCCCUAAAGACUUUGUGCCAGCACUCAGCCUAUUUAUCCACUACAGUGAAUAGUAAUAGACUCCAAUGAACCGUAAUAGGCAAAUGCAUCUCCACCCCUAAAAAAAUGCGCUGGCACCCAGUAAAAAAAUGUGCUGACACAAACAAUCUCCACCCCUACAAAAUGCGCUGGCACCCAGCUCAUUUAAAAUAUUUUUAAAUUUUUUCUAAAAGAAUAAAAAAAUAAAAUAGUUUUAAUUUCGGAUAGAAUUUUUAACCAAUCUCGUCAUGCCACGUGUCAUUAUCUGAAUGUACUAUUUUGUGAAUAGAUUUCCACUAAGAUUUUGAACCAAUCCCGACGCGCCAUGUGUCACUUAAAGUGUAGAAAAAUAUCUUCAAUGAGCUUCCACGAAGACAUUUUUUCUCUUAAAGUGUAGAAAAUAUUGAAAUGUAGAUAUUAUAGAAAGUGUAUAAAAUAUUGAAAUGUAGUGUAAGGUGGAAGAUGAGGGUUAGGCAUUUAUAGAAAAAAAAAUAAUAACCUUUUUAAAAUUUUCUGUAUUUUUUAAUAAUUUUUCUGUAUUUUUUUAAUUUUUAAUAAAUUUUAAUAUAGUUAAUUAAUAUGGACCUUUGGAUUUGAAAAAUAUUCAAAUCCAAGAGCCAAGGCAUUGCCACGUGGCCAACGGUCAUAUUUCUGACCGUUGGAUCUUUUUUUAUUAUUUUUAUUUUUAUUUUUUGUGAAAAAAUGUAGACCAUUGAUCUGUGAUCGGACGGUCCAUUUUAAAAGUCAAAUUUAAUUUUUUUUUACCGUUGGAAAUCCAACGGCACUAAGGAGGGCCACGUAGCCCUAAUCCACGUAGCCCUGCACCCUUGUCUCCUACUCGCACCUAGUCGUGAGUGUGUUGCAUGCGCCAGCCAAAUAGGUCGGCCUCUGGGUCUGUCCGAAAUGGGCUGGUCUGUUGCCUGGCUUGGGCUAGGUGCCAGGCUAUUUUGCGGGCUGGAGCAAAUUGACAGGGUGCUGGGCUGCUUUGUGGACUGGGUGCUAGGCCAAAUUGUGUGGGGUGGACUUGCUCUAAUGACUUGAUAUGUUCCCAAUGUAGGAAUUGGUUUCUCUUGUGACCCCAUAUAAUUAAGGUCACGUGUGAAGGGGCGUGUUCAAGAAUAGGAUGCCACAUUGUGUAUAUGACAAAAUAACAUACAAUUAAUAAAUGAGAGUUUCUAGCCCUAAUAUUACCAAGACUCUUUCUGAUAAAACUUAACACCUAGCAAUAAGUGGUUAAGUUAAGAACAAUAUUGAUGGUAUUGUUGAUGGCAAUAUUGAACCCUAACGGUUAUCAAAAAGUCAUUUGAAACUCGACUGGUUUGCUCAUGAUUUUGGCUGGCGUGGAGAUUAUUUGGGUUUGAUCGUGAUAGUCGAUCUCAUCCUAAUGGCGCUUUUGGAUUUUCAAACCCACCUGAAGAAUAAUCUCACCAACAUUUUUCUUCUUUUUGAAAAGAGUAAUGCUAGAGAGACUAAAUUUGUAGAUUAAAUUUUGUAAACUAAAUGACAUAGAAGUUGGUGAUUGGAUGACGUUUUUGGAUUUUCAAACCCACCGGAAGAAUAAUCUCACCAACAUUUUUCUUCUUUUUGAAAAGAGUGAUGCUAAGGAGACUAAAUUUGUAGAUUAAAUUUUGUAAACUAAAUGACAUAGAAGUUGGUGAUUGGAUGACAUUUUUGGAUUUUCAAACCCACCUGAAGAAUAAUCUCACCAACAUUCUUCUUCUUUUUGAAAAGAGUAAUGCUAAGAAGACUUAACUUUGUAGACUAAAUUUUGUAAACUAAAUGAUAUGGAAGUUGAUGAUUGAAUUAUUACUUAAUCGUUGAUAAAAAUGCUCAUUUUUUAUUGGUGACAUCUCAUAUGAUUUGUUAAUUUAGUCUACAAAUUUAAACUCUCUAGCAUUACUCUUUUGGAAACUUUGUCAAGAUAAACAAAAUUAGUGUUUUGGAUGAGCAAUAGGGUUUCUUGGCAAUGUGAACUUUCCUUAUUUAACUACUCAACUUUGCAAAAGAAGAUUAAAUCGGUGCACAUGACUGGCACGUGACCUGGUAAUAUUGCUAAAACAUGGAGUACACAGGAUAUUAUAGAGGAAUAGGGUUUUACGAAUUGAGUAUGGCGGCUAUACAGGGUCAACAGGAAAAGUUGAAUCCUGUAUGCGUAAGAAAGCAUGGGAUCCGUCCUGAUUCUGAGCUUGAUUCUUUACCGUCGGAUUGCUUCUUUAUGCCAAAUGAGCCAUGAUAUCUCUGGAUAGCCCUACGUACAUACCAAGUGCGAUUACACAUCAAAAAGCUCCUUAGUGCGAUUCUGGGUGAAUGAAAUAAUUUCAAACCCUCUAUAUUCCUACAAAGGACUGAGCAAGUGGUCUUGAUAUGUAACUUCAAUCUAGUGCGUUGCAGUACAGUAUAUAUAGUUCAUUUUUAUAGUAAAAAGACGGCAGGGAAAAUCUAUACCAGCCAUUAUUACCGGGUCUAAUCAGCAAUGUUUUAAAAGGCUUGUAUAGGCGUCCUCUAAGGUUGGGCGUGAGGAUUGUCGCUUCUGUUUUGAGGGAGUGGGUGGAAGGCUUCACGGAGCUGCCUAGGCACACCUCAGUGUCUUUUAUUUUAUUUUUUCAAACUCCCAAACCCAAAUUUUGGGUAGGGUUUUAACUGCCUCAUACCUUUUCCUUGCACUAUCGUCUCUCUGCCUUUUUUUUUAUUUUUAUUUUUUUAUAUAAUGGAUGUGUGUGUGCUGUUUGCGUGCAUUGUUAUAUGUGUGCUCAUUGUGUUUUUCAUCCUCUAUUAUAUAUAUAUAUAUAUAUAUAUAUAUAUAUAUAUAUAAUAUGUAUAUAUAUGUGUGUGUGUAUAUAUAUAUAAUAUAUGUGUGUGCUCAAGGUGAUUAUUGAUUAAUAAUCUUUUUUUUAAUAUAAUAUAUGUGUACGCGCUGUCCCUCAAACGCCUCACUCACGCCUCACGCUUUUAAUACAUUGCUAAUCAGUAAAAUCAACAAUAGUUUUUAUCUCUGCUUUCUUUCCCAUGACGACUAGGAACGGGCAAAUAAAAUAUUCCACUUCGAACUCUAGACCUCAAUAUCUGGUGUUUCACGAUCAGUAUUGGAAAUGAACGGAGGAGCGAUGGAACGUGCAGAGUACAUGUUGGAUCACUCCAGUGCGGCAUGAAGCUGCUGACGCCGAGUCGGCUCCUAUGCCACUAGCUAUGCCCAGCUUGGUCCCUCGGCACAGUGUAUAUUAUUUUGCAAAAGAAUUUUAUAAUAUUCAGAAUAGACUCAAAUAGACAACUAAGAGAUCACUUAACUAUAUAUUGACUAAUGUAUGCGAUUAAUUUUGAUUUGUUGGGUAAGAAAUCCGAACAAACAAUUUGUGUUGAAGAAGUAAAGGAGCCAACUAAGAAAGAGAAAGGAAGUCCCUAGAAAUGAACUAUGAGUUGUAACCAUUAAACCACUUGGUGGGUGACACAUCAGAAAGAAACUUUGGUGGGACCCCAGGGAUUUUUUUGUACGUACCAGGAAUAGUAGUUGCACUAGGGUUUAACUGGUGUGAGGCCGUUCUCGUUGAGAAGAGAAAAGACUAAGUAGGGAAAAUAUAGGGCAAUAGGGGCUAGCUAAAAAAGCUGUUUGGAUUAUGUAAACGUCAAAGCUCAAGUGAACAACUGGAAAGUUAACCCUAGAGUGUUACAAUGAUAUUGCUUCGCACUUUUUUGCAUGCAACUUGAUAUCCCUCAAAUUCGUGACCCUUAGAUAUCCCAGGCUCCUCCUUGUAUAAAUAGAUUACAUCCUUUGCUUCUAAGCAUGUCUUGUAUUGAGAAGUAUAAGAUUGCAGUUGUGUAGUAAAACUCUCUUGUUGUCACUGCGUGAGCAAGGGAUCAUAGAGUGAGUGAAACAAAGAGAGCCUUCCAAUCUUUCGGUUGUAAUCCAAAGAUAUGGCACUUCACCACACUUUGAGUUUGGCCUUUGGCCUCUUAGGUAUUGUAGCUCAUGUGUCCCUUCUGCCUCCUUUUCUUUUUCACCAACUGAUCAAUGGUCACAACUGAUUAAUGCACGCUACAUAAUAUUGCUUGUAGUAUGUGUUAAAUAAGUUCUCUUUAAGAUUUCAAGUUUAAUUACAAACCAAUUUUUAUGUUUGGUAAAUUAUAAUUUGCUAAGACUAAUAUAUUUUCUAUCUUGUCCCUUUUUCAAUUCUUUUAUCGUAGGCAAUAUCAUCUCCCUUUUGGUCUUCCUUGCUCCAGUGUAAGUGGUCAAUGUAUUAACUACUCCAUGGAAAAUUUUCAAAUUGUUAUAUGCGUACGUCCUUGCUAAUGAGAACAACGAUGGUUGUAAUUGCAGGCCAACUUUUUAUACAGUUUACAAGAAAAAAACAACUGAAGGGUUUCAAGCACUUCCAUACGUAAUUGGGCUCUUGAGUUCAAUGAUGUACGUAUACUAUGCCCUCCUUAAGGAAGAGCUGAAAGAGGAUGCCACUCUUGUCAUCACAAUCAACUCGGUUGGCUGCGUCAUAGAGACUAUUUACAUUUCCCUCUUCCUUUUCUAUGCCCCUAAGAAGGCCAGGGUAUGUAUUGGUUGUCUAUAACACUAACAGCCUUCAAAUUUUUUUAAUUAUUCUAGUUUGAAGCUUACAUAUGGGUUUUAUUUGGCACUUGCAGAUCUCAACCGCGACGCUUCUGUUCUUGCUGAACCUUUUCAGUUACGGCAUGAUGGUUGUAUUGACUCGCUUUCUAGCCACAGGUGAAACACGUUUUAAGAUUGUGGGAUGGAUUUGUCUUGUGUUCAGCCUAAGCGUAUUUGUCGCACCUCUUGGUGUCCUGGUAAUUAGCAACUUCGACCUUAAACAAAUCUUACCUAUUUGUAACAUCUCAACUAACCGUGCUGUAAUAUCGUUUUGGAAGAGGUAGUACUUCCAAAGAAGGUUUUAGUUUCUUCCAGGGUUAAAUUAAUGUCUUAAGAUAACAUUGGUAAAUUUGUGCAGAGACAAGUAAUACGGACCAAGAGUGUUGAGUUCAUGCCAUUUCCGCUAUCAUUUUUCCUAACAUUAGGUGCAGUCGCAUGGUUCUUCUAUGGUUUUCUGAUCAAGGACUACUACAUAGCUGUAAGUGAACCUUGGUAGUUUACAUAUAUAAGCUUACAUGUACAAGUUACAUGCAUGUAACAUGCAGGCGUGAAGAAUUAUAUUAAUUUUAUCCCUUUAGUUUGAAACUUUCUCUAUAUAUUAUUAUAUUAAUCUUUUGUGUUCCUCUUGGUUUAUCGGACAAAUAGUUUCCAAACAUUCUGGGCUUCUUCUUUGGGGUUGUUCAAAUGGCGGUUUACGUAGUCUACAAGAAUGCAAAGAAAUUCCUGGAAGAUCAGCCAAAAGUUCAAGAAUUAUCUGAGCACAUUAUUGAUGUGAUGAAGAUCAGUACUUUGGUGUGUCCAGAACUGAGUCCUGCAGUGAUUCUGAAUCCAACUGUGGACAUUACAAAUGACAUGAUUGAAGUGGUUCAAAAUAUAAUUGUCAUGGCUGAAAAGACAGAAAAAACCAAGGAAGCUGCCAUUGAUGAUGAUUUCUCCACCAAAGUUUGAACCCAAAAUUGAAGGGACGUGCACACGUUAUAAAGUUUUUUAAGUCUUCAAGAUAAGCAUAGUUCCUUCUGUUUUAAGUUUGCCCUAAUUGAAGUUUAAUUUGUGUGUUGGUUUAAUUAACUGUGCUCUAAGGCGUAGGUGCCAUGGGCGUAUCUGUGUUAUGUAUCUCCCUCUAAUCUCCCAGUCUUUCAGUAUCUCUGUUCCCUUAAAGCUCUGUAGCUAUCUGAUGUAGCUAGCUUUGUAUUAGCUUUAAACUAAUUAAGCUUAUUUCAAUUAAUGUAUUAAGGAGAUAUUAUUACUAGUUAACUACAUUUGCUAGAUUUUUUUUCCUUUUCUUUUGAGGGCUCUUCACAAAUAAUUCCUUAAAACUCCAACUUCUAAGCAAAAGCAAAACUGACGAACCCAAUUAUUAUCGCACUCGUCAACAUUAACAAUUGGUAGAUAGGUUAGAUCUUUUCUAUAGUUUAAUUCUUGAACUGUUAUUCACUAACAUUAACCAUUCUUAGACAGACUACACAAACUAAGGUAUUUUCUAAUGAACUUUCUAAAAUGCUCAUCUUUUGGGAUGUUCAAGGUAAAAAGCUAGCUAUGGUAUAAUCAAAUUCCAGAAAAACCAAAACAAAUAGAAAAAACUUAUCAAGUACGAUAUAACUCAAUUUAAUAUGGUUGUGGCUGGAAUAUGUCUUAAUCUGAUUUUUUUUUUUUUCACAAACGAAAAUGACACUUAGAUUGAUAAACUUGGCGAAAAAGAAUGCAUCAUAGACUAUAAUUUUCUCACUUACUUUUAUAAUUAUUCCAAUUAUGUCAAACUAAUUUACUAUCAUGGAUAAAAAUAAUUAUAAAAAAAAAAAGAGUCACCAACACAGAAAAUGUUUCACCGUAACAUAAACUAAAAGUAGGCAAAGAAUUUUAUUUUUAUUUUUUUCUUUCAAGCCUUUCCACUUGAAGUUAAAAUUUUGCCGAUAUUAAGUUAGCUUUUUUAGGAAAUUUCAGUGGGGGAGACGGGACAAACCCUAGCAACCAAAACGAAACAACACAAUUUCUCUCUCUCUCUCUCCAUGGUAUUGCAUGUAGCUAGUGUUGAAUGACUCGAAAGAUUACACACCAGGCCGAUCUGAAUGGGCCCACCUAAACAUAUCUAGCUAGUGGAACAAAAUCACCCCUAUACAUGAGUUUGGAAUCUGCAUAGAUCAGAGUAUUCUUCCCAAGUGAAAGGUAACUCACUAUAAUUAAUUAUAGGGCAAAGGCUUUACAUUUUCCACGUGAGAUAUACAUCACGUGUUGAUUUAAAGGUGUUCAUAUAAUUAAAAUAAGCUAAGAUACUAGCCUGAAUUGACAGAGUCAGAGAAUAUUUUAUUCUUGUUUAAAUUACACUACUAAAUAAGAAGUGUUACACGUGUGUAACGUAAAAACAAGAAUUAUUAAUCCUUACUUACAUAACCCAAAUGAGUUACGCUUACAAUUCCCUUAAGUUCAUAAUAGAAUUUGAAAUCCUAUUUGCCAAUAUAUUACUCAAACUCAGUUUACCAUAGUCGGAACAUGAUAUGUUUAGUCAAUUAGGGUAUUCUUAUGGUCUAAAAUAUCGAUAUUAUCCCGAUAUUUUCAUUGAAAUUUCCGUGUUUUUGGACUACCGAUAUUUCCGAUAUCAUCGAUAUUUUAAACCUUGAUAGGAACUCUAUGUGGUACUAAGUCACUCAUGUAUCUUACCAUGCAAUGUAUAAAUUGUAAAAUAUUGUACUAAUUCAUUAUAUAUAAAUGAUUAUGGUGUGUUUAAACUUCUUUCAUUAAUUACUACAUAUUUUCUAUAUUCACAAUGUUUGCCAGCUCGCUAUAUAAUCAACUUAAAUCAGUUAAAUCCAUCAUGCAAUGCAUUUCCUUCCAAUUUUUUGUGAUAAAUUAAUAAAUAAUUGACUAAAUAAACAUCCUGCAAAGUUUCAAUUAAAAUUUCCAAGUUUUUCUUACAAUUUCCGUGGUUUUUAUUCAAUUUUUAUCGAUAUUGAUAAUAUCCCGAUAUUUCCAUCGAAAUUUCCAUGUUUUUAAACUACCGAUAUUUUCGAUAUCAUCGAUAUUUUAGACCUUACAUCCGGGUUCAAAUUUUCAAAUUCUUCCCCCCCCUCUCCCAAACCUUUUUUUUAGAACAAACGAUAUUAUUUACACUAAGAGGGAGGGGGUAGGCUUAGCCUCACAAUGGGCUAGUAAUAAUGUUGUUCAAAUUCGCCAUUGGCGAUAAUCGAACCUAAUACCUCUUACUUACAAGUGAAGAGGAAUACCAUUAGACUGUAGUACUAAGUGGCCCCUCUCCCAAAUUUAAAUUAUAGUAAUAACAUCACUCAUAUUCAAGGGAAAUAAAUUAAUAUAUUUCAAAUCUAGUAAGACUUGCUAUCAAUACAUAAAUGGUGCGUUUACUAAUCCGUAAUCAGAUUGAGAGGAAUUGAAUUGAGGAGGAAUUGGAAUGAGAUGGAAUCAGAACUAGAUUCCUGUUGAAAUUGUUUACCAAAACUGUCUGGAAUCGGAAUAAGAAUGACAUUGAUGUAUAUAAACUGUUUACUAAUUCACAUGAAUCGGAAUGAUAACUAAUGUGAUUACUAAAGUACCCCUACUUUAACUAAUUUAUUUUAUAUGCUAAUUAUUUUUAGUAAAACUUUUAUUCUUUUAUUUUAUUUUAUUUUUUACUAGGGAGAAUAAUUUUUUAUCUUUUAUAAAACUUUUAAAUUUUCCUAAUCGGAUAGAUUACUUCAAAUUUGAUAUGAAAGAAUCAUUUUUUAUUUGCUUCUAACUCUUAAUCACCCUAAACCCUAAUAGAAAUACCUACAUAAAGUAAACUAAAAUAAAAUUUUACUUCCUUCUCUCUCUUCCCCCUUUCUUUCCCCAUUCUUUGUCUACAACCCCUUUCUUUCCCGAACCCGGCUUCUCUGCCCUCCCACUUCUCAUACACUCUCAUCCCCUCCUAUUUUGUGCAGUCACGGUUGAGCCACGUCAACAUUUUAUAUUGAUUUUUUUUUAUAGAAAUAAUAAGACAAAAAGUAAUAGUAAUAUAAAAUGAUGACGUGACUUAACCGUGUGACCACACAAAUAGGUGGGGAAAGGAGUGUAUGGAAAGUGGGAAGGCAGAGAAGCCAGGUCCUUCUUUCCCCUUUCUUUCCCUAGUACGCAGUAUCCACACCCCACCAUCCAAUCUCAAGAGGAACCACGAAGCCACGACCUACCCCAUCAACAACAAAAAAAUCCAAUUUUUAGGGUGAAAGUGAUCAAAGUUCUUUCAUUCUCUUCUGUUUGGGUCUGCAAAUCGCAAUUUCCUUGAGGAUUUGGGCGUUCAUUGUUUCAGAUCAUGUUCAUCGUUGUGCCAUCAUUUUAAAUCUCGGUCAAUCGUUGUUCCAAAUCACAAGCGUUCGUCGUUCAGUGCUACUGCAUCAUUUCAGAUUGCGAAGGUGGGGUGGUAUGUGAUGUGAAAGAAACAAAUACAAAGGGGAGUGAUUGAUGAAGGUAGGAGUUGUUUUAGGAAUAUACAUGGGUAUUUUGGGUAGAAAACUUUGAUUCAUGAUGGAGCUCUCUACCCGGAAUUCAAUUACCACCUCUACAGAGGGAAUCCAAAUCCAAGGAAAUCCGGAAUUGAACUCCUGAAAUUGGUUGGACCCCACAUAAAAUCUGAUUCCCCAAUUGCUAGUAAACGGCAGAAUGCUUGGGGAGGAAUUCAAUUUCGUUUCUCUCCAUUCCACUCCCAAUUGGUAAACAUGCCAAAAGUGACUAGGGACAUUAAACCCCAUAAAUUGCUCCUGACAAGUGCAACGUUAACAUUAGUAGGAAAAUAAUCCAACAACAUUUUCCCUCGCAUCUAGUGUAUUUGUGAUCAACGUGUGUAUGUUAAGCCUAACACGUGAAUUAGCUUGAAUUGAUACUCUCUUUUUUUAAUACAAGCAAUAUGUUUACUCUAAACUAGACUAAUAAAUGGAGAAGAAAGGGUUUGAACUUUGAACCUAUAAUGCAAUAAACUAAAGAAAAAUACCAUAAUCAGGGCAAUCCACCACCAAUAGUUUCAUACUAUCUUAGAAAUAUGGUAUUCAACCAGCCAAAACCAAUUAAAGGGCUCAAGAUACUAUACAUUGAUGCCUAAUGUUUAUAGUGAUUCCUCAUGUGGGAACAUAUUCAAAAUUCACACUAUUUUAUACAUAACUACUUUUCUGGUUCUUGAUGGGGAAGAAUUCGGAGAAAUAUACUAGGGGUUUAAUUUUAGUAAUUAUUCUGGGGCACUUGGUGCGAUGGCAAGUGCAUUCGCCCAUGAGCGGUAGGUCUCGGGUUCGAGACUUGAGAGCAGCCUCUCCAUAAAUGGGGGUAAGGCUAGCCGACAUUCACCUCUCCCAGACCUUGCGUAAAGCGGGAGCCUUGUGCACUGGGUACGACUUUUUAUUCUGGGGCACUAGUCACUGCCAAUGAAACUGAUUCAGCCUGAUCAAGAUUCUUCAUCCAUAUAAAAAAAAACUUUAGGCCACAUUCCACCACAAAUUUAAGGAUUGCUUCAAGUAUGACCACCAUGACCAACUUUUCAUGUUAAAUAAUCUGGUAGAUUUCACUGUACUUGCUUCCCCAACAUUUGGUAGUUCCUUUCCCUGAUGUGAUAGAUGACCCUCCUUUUUAACAAGUUGGGGGGAUUCGGGUUUUGAAGAACUUGUGAUUCAAAUUACACGCAAAAGUUUGUGUGUAGAUAUCCAGCAGUGUUCAGUAAUUAAAAACCCACCGAUGAAAUAUGCGUACUCUUGAUUAUAUUUGCACGUUUUCUCAUUGCAAAUCUUUAUUUCUGAAUGCCAAAAAAUUAGGUCUCUCUCUCUAUAAGACUAAAGAGAAAUAGCUAGCUUGGCGCAAGUUAACAUGACUCAUUUUUAUCGCGCAAGUUGGCUAGAUCAUGUAACAGUUGAUAUGUUAAGUAUCGGUACCAACUCUAAGUCUAGAGCUACUUAAUCCAUGGUAGGUUUCAAGUAUGAAUCCGGCUCCUCUCGUAAUAGAACAUUAUCAAUUGAUUACAAUAUAUACUUGACCUAGCUCCUCCACAGAUAAAACAUUAUCUACUGAUCAUAAUAAUUGACCUAAUAAAUACACAUCAAUUGUCACAUAAUAUGAUAAGCAAAUGGUUAGAAAACAUAAUCACGCUAGCAUUACGUGGUUUCGCUCUUUGUCGACGUUGUUUCUCGGAAGGUGUGUGGAAUGAACGGCGGUGACCAAAGGUCAUUUUCAGAAGAAGCAUGCCUAAGUUUAGGUAGGUAACCAUGCUUGACCCUACCUUGUGUGCUGCUUGCAAUGCAUGAGAUCAUGAGGGUGAUGAAGUAACCAACUACUACAGUACUAAUACUUUGAUCAUCUGAAAGCCUGAAGCUUCGGAUCAAUGAUAAAGGAAAAAAUCGUGUGGUUGGUUUUCGUUAAGUACUAUUCAUAUUUAAUUUUAAAUUUUAAUUUUUGAAAUGAUUUCUAACCUCACGAUGUACGAUGAAUGGUCACGAUCACGAUCACAAAAUUCUCAGAAAAAGGAUCCGAUGAGGAUCCUUUUCCAAUGAUAAAAAGUUUACUGUCAUCAUGUUAUGUUUCUGGUUUUGUUUGUCCUUUUCCCCCCAUUUUGUUGAAGAUUCUUAUUCUUUCUUUCUGGUCAACUUGUUAACGGUGCUUAAAUUACAUAGGGUUUUUAGACCAGGUGGUGUCAUGAUUAUCCCACAAUCCCAUAGGGCAAUCACUUGAACUUUUUUUUAUUCAUUUCGUCCGUAAAAUUUGAACGUGAGACCUCUUCCACCAAAAACAAGUAAAUAGAGUUCGGAAUUGCAACGGAAAAUAAAUUUAUUAGGAUACAAAAUGCACCUGUAUACAAUUCUUCACAAAAUUUGUGGUACUGGGCCUUAAAUUCUUGUUAAAAGGAGCUAUUACGAUGAAGAAAACAAAAGGCUUAGGAGUUAUGGAUUACACGAAUAGUUAGGUAAGUGAUGCCCAAUCAGGAUAUGGGCAUUCAUAAGUCCAUCCCGGUGCGGAAUACCGAACACAGUGUAGCCACAAAGCCUCUUCAUAAACAUCGUACCUGCAACAAAUAGAAUUUUUGUGGAAAAUAGUCGAAAAUAAAAUUUAUAUGGUUAGAAAGAAAAUGCAUCAAAGAAUUUUUUUCAUGUAGACUACGUGUGACGAAAAGAUAAGUUGUACCCUUUUGGAACCAAAUUCGGACAAUUUGUACACAUGGGAUCAAUGCUGAAAUCUUCGUUGGAAUCUACAGGUUCAGUGGAUAAAUUUUCGCGAAAGCCAGAUGGCGGAGAGGGGCUGGAAUUUGCAGCAGCUCUAUCAGCACCCAUUCCUUCACUUGAACGACCAUUAACAUGUUUGGACAGGUAAAGCACGUCAUUGGCAAUCGGAUAGCCUAAAUGUUGCAAAUGGACACGUAUCUACAUCACAGAAAAGCGGAGAUCAUUGAUCUUUUAGUCAAUCCAAAUCACUGCUUCAGAAUUCAGACCAAUUGGAAUAAAAAUGUGGAGCUAUGUCUUUAGAGUUUAAAAGAUAUCAAAAUUCGAAAAAACAAAAUGGAAGGCAGAGUCGUAAGAACAGAAGCAUAGCAAAAGUUCACUGAAAUGAACUGCGAAUGAAAAAUUACCAAAGGGAACCAAAAAUAAAAGCAUAGAAUGCAUAUUGCAAACUUACUGUCGGGAUUUGAAAAGGGAGAUAAUUUUCGUUUUCAAGAGCAAACUGUUCAAAAUCUGUUGUUACAUUGCCCAUAUAAUCAGUGCAUUGACUUACUUGAUGAGUUCGGCCAGUGACUGGCUCGCACAAGACAAGACUAUGGAUUCCAUUGGUACUGAGUCUAGUAAACUUUGUACAGGCAGUCUUCCCCUUGAUGGGAGUAUCAUCACCUGACUGACUAAUCUGCAUAAACGAGAGAUGGUUAUCAUCCAGUAUGGGCACUUCGUACGUUUCGGUAUAUAAUUCAAAAUAUCAAUUGGAGAAGACCAGUUAACAAUGGGUUUACCCAUGGCAGGAAGUUUCAGACAAUCAACUUUAACAACAUAACAAAAGUUUAUUGAAACUACUAAAAAAUCAUAUGGUUUAAACAGAAGCUACUAGCAUCAUGCACAUUAUAACCCACCUCUGUUGUGCUCCUACAUUCUCGAGCAUCAUGAUUAACAUUAGCAUCUACAACUUGCUGGAGGAAGAGACAAAAAAACAAUCUGUCAAUCCUAACAUUAAGACCAGUAAUUUUAACAUCCAGCUUUAACAAAAGCAAACCUCUUGCUCAGGAAAUUCCCCAGCAACUCUUGCAAUGUACUGUUUCUGGACCAUCCCUCCUUCAAUCUGCAACGAUUGCAUUUGACAUUCAGAAAAUCUAGAUAAAAAAAAAUUCUUAUCGAUAAAAGCAUUAAAAGCACACCAUCUAGUCAUCACAACAGAAUCUCUCAAAACACAGUGGAACAAGAUAAAAUGAUUUCCCGACAGUAGUGACAUGUGCAUGCAACCAAUACCAUUCGUUAGAUAACCUGAACAUUACCGGCCAAAUAAUUGGGAAGACCCCAAGCUUCUUUCUCUUCUAUAAAAGUAGUCAUAUAUGCUGGUAUAAAAGGUACACGAUUCACUCUAUGUGAAUAUAGAUGAUACACCUAAAGAGACAGUAUACAUUAUAUCUGACAUGUAGUACAUACCGAAUUAGAUUGGUGUACCCCUGAUUACAUGCAGGAUAAGGCCAUAAUGCAUGUAACUCCAGGACUAUAUCGAAUUGUAUCAUGACAGAAACCAACACAUUAUAAAUUUCUGCUACCAUAAUGCAGGCAUUGAUUAUAAUGUCCUAUGGCCAUGAUGAUGACUUAAAGUUUCAUGAAUAUUUAAUUAAUAGUGUUUGCUAAGUACCAUAUAGUCACUUUUAAAGAUAAAGCUUACCUGUUGCCUAAAAUAGUCGGCUUUUGAAGCACUUCUGGCCAAGAUAAGGAGUCCUGAUACAAGGCGAUCUAGUCGAUGAAUUGCUGGUAUCAUCGUGUCAAGGAAAGUAUAAUAAAAAGCUAAAGACUCCAUUGCAAAAUAUCAUUAUGUAACUUUAAACCACGUGCUGUCAGAAGUAAUAUGCUUGAAACUUAGGAUACGAAAUAGAGGUGCCAAGCCAUGCUCCGCCUCAAGGAUGCCAACAACGGUGUUCUUACGAUAUUGACCACACGGAUGCACCUGAAAAACAGCAGAUACUAACAGCAAUAAGACUCCGUAAUAGGAUUAUAAGAGAUCAGGAUAAUGUUUCAUCCCCUGCUUGGCACACUAGGCCAUAAAUUCUACUCACCGGAACAGAUGCAGGUUUACAAACAACAACCACAUCCGGUUUCUCUUGAAGAAUCGAUAUAUCCCAAGUCAUGACUGGCGGUUCAUGCCUACAACCAUUUUUACAUCAAUUGGUAGCUCGAUACUUUGAAAUACGAAAUUGAACCAAUCACACAAUUAGCAAAAGCGCAUAAGGAAACAAGAAGAGCGAGAGCCAUCGACUACAACACAAACCUGUGGACGAAGUGGCUUAUCUUUUGCGACGUUUUAACAAUGUGGGAAACCGGCACCAUCUCUCCAUCAACCUGUAUCCUUCCAGAUUUCACUGCACUAACCUACAAAUGCACAACAAAUGCACAACAAAUCACAUCCAAAACCUCAACUCAUCAACACGAAAUCGUUCAAGUAAAAUGCAAAGCAACUAAAACAAGAACACAAAAACAAAAACUCUUACAUAGUAAUCAUAAGGCCGGCCUUUGAACUCAUGAGUGAACAAAUCAACGAUGGUCUUCCCCGCCCACCGAUUCUUCACCUAAAAACCCGGAACCACAGAAUUAGGGUUUAAUCACAAGUAAACUAAUUACAUUAAACUAAUAAUAUUACCAAAUUAAUCAAGUAAGCUUACAUGGCAGAUGAACUCGAAGUAGUAGGGUCUGACAUGGCGCCGCCCUGCAACAUUCCCGCCAAAGACAUUUUUACUUAUUUAUUCAUUUAAUUUGUUAUUACUUUUCGAAGAUAAAGGCAAUUUUCAACGGCGGAGAACUUACCGUCGCGAAAGAUGUAAUCUUGCGGUUGCGGCCGAAUCGCCGGACUCUGCCACACGAUCUCCAUGGCCUUGUCUUCCCUCGUCCUCUUCAUUUAUCGGGUUUUUUUCGGAUUUUCGGAUCAAAUUUUCGGCAUCUGGAAGCGAAAUCACAGCCCUAGACCAAACUUGUUGGGACGACGUCGUCCGGUGAUUUAAUCGCUGACAGAAACGACGGCGUAUAGAAGCCAGUUUAGAUUUGAGAAAUUUUGAUAAAUGCUCCUUUUUAGAAGGUCAAAAUUAGAGCAAUAGUCUCUCAAUUAAAAAUUCAUGAUCAUUGAUCCUUAACUCGUCAAAAUAUGCAACUAUGGUCAUUUUCAUUAACUCCGACAAAAUUCCGUCAAAAUGAGUUAUGUUGGAAUGAUCAUUGAUACAAUUAGGUUAAAGUUGAGAGACUAUUGCUACAACAUGGUUAAGUUGAGGGAUCAUUUCUCUAGUUGGGUUAUAGUUGAGAGACAAUUGGUACAAUUUUUCUCAUUUGGUUUUCAUAUUUACCCCUCAAUUCAACCUCAUAUGCGUGGUACGUGAUUCAUUUUGACAGAAGUUAUAACGGAAUUGAAGAAAAUGACCAUAGCUACAUGUUUUAAGGAGUUAAGGGACCAAUAGUCAUGAAUUUUUAGUUAAGGGACUAUUGCUAUAAUUUCCUCCUUUGAAUAUUGCCUAUUUUGAGUGGGCAUGCUUUAGGAUGGCUCGGUUUCAAGGUCAUAUAACGGUGUUGCAGAUGGCAUUUUAUCACAAUGGUAAAAGGUAAUCAUGUUUAUACAUUUAGGGAAGUGUUAUUGACAAUCCAAAAGUCUCCUUCUACACUCCUUACAAGUGUAUUUUUCUUUCCUAAUAUAGAAAGCUUGGAGUGUAGAAUGAGAUUUUUGGAGUGCUAAUAACAAUUCUCUACAUUUAAUAUAUGUUUAAUCUCCAUCGAUUUUUUUCUUCGUAAUAAUUUAUUAUUUAAUCCACUAAUAAAAUAAAUAAAAAUAAGAUUGGUGUUGAAAUUGAAAAUUUACACUAAUUUUGAUACUGUUCAAUAGUAGGCUUUUUCAGUUAUAGAACCGAAUCCUACCAUACCAUUUGGUUUCGGUUUGGUACUUAACCAUUUCACUGUCAAUAUAUUUUAAGUGUAAAAUAUAAAACCUCAGUAAUUAAGUGUGACUACUACAUAACUUGGUUUUAAUAAUUAAGUGUGGUUUCUACACAAUUUACAAAUGAGUCACGCUUGUUAUAUGUGCCAAAUUGUAUUACAAUUUAUUGAUAUUCUCUUCUCAAAUGAGAAGUUUUAAAUUCAAUUUUUUACAACAAUAAAUAACAUCUAGGGCUCUAGGGUUUCUGGGUGCGAGGCGCCGCAGGUGCUAUCGCGCUGAUCUCUAAGACACUUUGUCAGUCGAGAUCAAGUGGAAGGAAGUUGAGUGGUUGUGGGGUAAAAUGGUUUUUUAUGAUUAUGUGUUGGGUAAGUUCCUAAAAAACCUAAUUGGAUACUUGAUAAUUGGGAAAAAGGUAAUCAUGAGCUUGAAUAGGGUAAGAUGGAUUGGUAAUUGGCUGCUAGUGGAGUGGGGAAGGAACCCCGAUGAGACCUUUGAACUGAUUUAUCCUCUUUUCCCAAGUGUUAGAUGGGUUAAGUGGUGUCUGGCGAAGUGGUAUUAUUUGUUAGGGUUUUUAGGCUUCUCGACUUGGUUAAGUUUUGCUUGCUGUGUUUUCUAUUUCUUAAUUAGUUUGUGUGAUUGGCUGUUUGUGUGGCAUUUGCUUUUUUGGCUUAAGAUUUUUGGUGACUCUCUGUAUUUUGUGCUCUGGAUAACUUAUUUCCUCACAUUAAAAGUUUGUGUCUGUAGUCAAAAUCAUUACUGGCUUUGCUUGGGGUGUUGGGAUGGUUUAACUUCCCUUGGGGUUUGCUCUCCCUAGAGACGGUUGAUCUUUUCAAGCCCUGGUUCUUUUAUUUUGAUUGGAGUUAGACUGUUUAGUCUGGAGUUUCUAGGCCCUGGCGUCAUGCACGCUGACGUUUUCCCAAGUUUUGGUGGUUUUUAGUAAUUAUAGCAUAUGCUAUUGGUCUUUUAGUUUUAGUUUGCUUGCGUGGUUUCAUUGUGCUAGGGUUUAAUGGUUAGUUUCCCCCUAAGUGGUGUUAUUUAUAUCAACCAUUGGGGUGCUUGUUAUCCCCACAAAACUCUCUGGUUCUGGUCCUUUCGUUUCAUAGUGCUCUCACAAUGACAAACCCUUAGCUUGUUGCUUCAUCUUCCAACAACGCCCGUAAGCCUAGAAUUUCCUCGGAGGGUUAUAUCCCGAGUUGGGAAAACCCUUUUCAUGUUCCUCAGCUUGGGCAGGACCCGGUGGUUGUCGAAAAGGCUAUGAACACUUUCAUUAUGGAGCGUGGUGUGACUAGGGUUAAUACCCACCUUUGUUCAUCCAUCAAUGUUGAGCACAUGCUUUCUGUGCUACUUAUAGGGAAGACUCUUGAUGCUCACUUGAUCAAGUGGCUCUUAUGGAAGAAUGAGGUGAAAAAUACCUUUUACCUUGAACACUUCGGCAGAAAAUGGUUUGCUCUCAAGUUUACUGAUGAAGAUGAUCUAAAAUUUGUCAUCAAGAAUAGGUCGUGGUACGUGUAUGGCCAAAUCUUCCAUCUUGAAAAGUGGACAACAAGCUUUAAGGAUACUGAUGUCAUUACCAAGUUAAUUGUCUGGGCGCGUUUACCUCGGGUCCUAAUGCAAUAUAAGGAGGAAAAGAUUAUCAAAGAUAUUACUCAACCCAACAGGAGAAUGAUUAAAGUGGAUGAAGUGACGCUGAGGUUGAAUGGCCUAUUUAUAAAGGUUUUGUUAGAGGUGGAUUUGCGUUUUCCCCUCAAACGAGUGUUUAUUGUCAACCAUGAAGAUGAUUAUCCAAUCCUGAUUAGCUAUGAAAAAAUCUUUGAGGUUUGUUUCUAUUGCGGAUGAAGAAGAGUUGAAGGACAUGUGUGUCCAGAAAUGGAAGCAGACGACGGCUAUUUUAUGAUUGAUAAAGUUUUUUAGGAUAAGCCAUAUGUCUACCUGGAGGAUGUGAUUAUGAAUGAGGAUGUCAAAGCUUGCUUACAAAAGGAUGUGAUGCUUUGUUUUUCAAAUGCUACAACUGUUGAUGAGGAGUUUACUGAAAAUGAGGAAUUGAGACAACGAAUGGAGGAUGGGGGCUCAGAUGAGAAGGGAUGGACUACGGUGACUCCAUGGUGAAGGUGAAAGGGGGAUAAGAAAAAGUCGGGUGAAAGUUCUAAGGAAGAUAGAUCAUAUAAGGAAGUGGUGGCUAGCCCGAAGCUAAAAUGGUUGGCAAAGGCGAACUUGGUGUAGGACUAGAGGAGGCCUGGGAAAACUAAGGAGAGUGUUCAGCAGGUAAGUGUGGGGAUUUUAGACUAUCGGGGCAUUGAUAGUUUCAAUUGGGUAUUGCCUGAUUGUGUUGUGUUUGAUGAUCUGUCUGAUUUAAGUCAUUGGUUUGAAUCUUACUAUGCUAGUGAUCUUAGGUUAGGCAGAGUAAAUUUCUUUGAUGCCAUGUGUUUUUUGAAACAAAAUCAGGAUGUCGUGAUGUCAAAUGUGAGAAGUGGUGAUAUUGAGGUUAGGGAGAACUAUGAGAGUUUUGUUGUUAUAAAGCUGGCAGCGGAAGCAACAUCUGCAAUUGCUAGGCCAACUAUGGGAAUGCUGAGUCUGAGGAAACAAGUCCAAGAGGAGAAGGCCGAUGAGGUUUAACCAUUUGCGUACCUUGACGAGAUAAACUGAUGAAGGGGAUUGUGUGGAAUUACAAGGGAAUGAGAAGACCAAAGUUUAAGAGUAAUUUUAAUUAUCUUUGUAGUUUGGCUAAAUUAGACUUCUUUUAUUUUGUUGAAACUAAAUCUGAUGUGGAAAAGGCCCCUGUUAGUUGCUUUAGGAGGUGUUUUGAUCAGUUUUUUUUAUGUAACCCCGAAGGGAGAUUUGGGAGAGUCUAUCUUUGUUGGAACUCUGGCAUGAUGAAUGUUACUGUGCUUUCUGUUUCUUCUAGAUUUAUUCAUGCUUUAGUUAAGGAUGUGUGUUUGAUUCUUUGUUACCUUUGUUUAUGUCCAUCCCUAGAAAUCUCUACAAGAGAAUAUGUGGGAUGAGUUAUUACUUAAUCCCGUUAAUAAACCCUGGAUGGUGCUUGGUGAUUUUAAUUGUAUUACCAGUACUCAGGAAAAAUAGGGAGGAAAUCAGAGUGGAAGUAUCUAUAUGACAAAUUUUGUCAAUUUCUUAAACGAUGUUGGCCUUAUCUCUUUACAAGCUUCCGGUGUUCCUUUCACUUGGACAAAUAAACACAAGGAUAAUACUCUUAUUUUUGUGAGAUUGGAUAGAGUGGUUGCUAAUUCCUACUGGCUUGAAAUGCACCCUAACUACUCCCUCCAUAAUCAUCCUAUCCUAGGUUCAGAUCAUAAUCCUUUUUUAUUGGACACUAUUGGUUCUAGGUGUAGACAACGGAGGAGAACUUUCAAAUUUGAGGCCAUGUGGAACUUACUUCCGAAAUUCAAAAUUUUUGUUAAAGGUGCAUGGAGUUGCAGUGAGGGGAUGUCUCCCAAUGAUCGCUUCAGGGGCUGUUUAGGUAAGUUCUCCUUCCUUGCUAAAAAUUGGAAUUGUGUGGUUUUUGGUUUGGUCAAAGAAAGAAACAAAAAUAUUUUAAAUGAGCUUAACCAAGUUCAACGGGAAAUUAUGUCCUUGAAUGGCACUGCAAAUGUUACAAAUACUCUCAUUGAUAAAAUCAAUUUAGAGGCUCAUAUAAAUGAGCAAUUCACUCAAGUCCAUAAGGAGGAAGAGGUAAUGUGGGCUCAAAAUGCUAAAGUUAGCUGGCUUAAGUAUGAAGAUAAAAAUACAAGAUUCUUUCAACUGAGUGCCACGAUAAGGAAUAAGCGUAAUGAAAUAAAUAGGAUUAGGGAUGGUAAUGGCCUUUGGUGGACUAGAGGAGAGGGCAUGGAACAAAUCUUUGUGCAUGAAUUUAAGAUGCGGUUCACUAGAGGUCACAAUCCUACCACUGACCAGCUUAGCUUGGUUUCUCAAGUUAUUGAUCCGUGUUUCUCAAAGCCCCGAGGCCGAAUGGUAUUCAUGCUAGCUUUUAUCAUGAGUGUUGGGAGCUGGUAGAACCCUCAGUAUGCAACAUGGUAAAAAAUUUAUUUAUAAAUAAUACUAGUCUUAAGCUUAUCAACCAUAUGAACAUUGCUUCAAUCCCGAUAGUGGAGAACCCAAAGAUGGUUAAUAAUUAUCGCCCAAUAAGUCUUUAUAAUGCUAGUUACAAAAUUAUCACAAAAGUUAUGAUUUCCAGGUUGAAGUCCCUUCUUCAUUUAUGUAUCUCACAAAACCAGGGGCUUUUACGACGGGGGGAUCUAUACAGGAUAAUAUUCUCGUUGCUCAUGAAUUGUUUACAAGUUUUAACAAGAAGAAGGGCAAGACGGGAGAUCUAGCUAUUAAACUUGAUUUGGAAAAGGCUUAUGAUAUGCUUAAUUGGGAGUAUAUCAGGUGUGUUUUGGAAAGGUUUGGUUUCUGUCAAAAGUGGAUCAUUUUAGUUAUGGAAUGUAUUACUUCUACAUCGUUCUUAGUUAAUAUUAAUGGUGAAUCCCAUGGAUAUUUCAAUGCAAGUAGGGGUAUUAGACAAGGUGACCCUCUAUCUCCCUAUAUUUUCAUUAUUUGCAUGGAACCUUUAAUGGAGGUUCUGUGCAAUCUGUGCAAUCUGAUUCAGACAACAAAGGGAAAUGCUUCAUCAACAGAGCCCGCUGCAACUGCAGGUACUUAAUUCUUAGCAUCAGUGUUCUUCCUCUUGAAGAUCGUAGAAACUCCUUUAGGAAAUAUAGAAUUUUCACAGUAGCAUAGAAUGAAGGUACACCUGUGUUGGUUUGUAAAGAGUGGAGCUCAGGUUACCAAACAGAAACUACAGUUGGAAUUUUCACAGUAGCAUAUAAUUUUCACUUCUGCAAUUACCAAAUAGAAACUACAGUUGGAAUUGAGCUCAGGUUAUGCACAAAUUAAACUAAACAGAAACUAAAAAACUGGAAGAGAAACAGAGCUUCCUUUGCAACUCUUGAUCUUA
rnacentral:lncRNA from 1 species